rnacentral:lncRNA from 1 species
UUCCCUUCUCUCUUUUCCUAUCAAUAUCGAAAUCCCUUCAGGAGUAGCGAAAAUGAGAAGCAAUAUUCUACUUACCAUUAUCUUAGCCAUAGUUCUUGCAGGAGCCCUUCCCAAGAAUGUGGUAGAGGCUCAGAAUUGUGGCUGUGCUGCAAACCUUUGUUGCAGUCAAUAUGGCUACUGUGGCACUGGCAAUGCCUAUUGUGGUCAGGGAUGUAAACAAGGGCCCUGUGCUUCAUCACCUACGCCUACUACCCCUAGUGGGAGUGGUUCUGUUGCUGAUAUUGUUACGCCUGCUUUCUUCAAUGGUAUAAUCACCAAGCUGGUGCAGGCUGUGCUGGGAAGAAUUUCUAUACAAGAAAUGCAUUUCUCAGUGCUGUCAAUUCAUAUUCUCAAUUUGGUAAACUUGGUUCAGCUGAAGCUUCUAAGCGUGAGAUUGCAGCUUUCUUCGCUCAUGUUACUCACGAGACUGGACGUAAGUUCCUCUUCCAUCCCUAAUAACAUUUCUCGCAGCAUUUGAAUAGCAAGCAUGAUAGCCAACAGUAUUCUGUCUGUCUGUCUGUCUAUCUUUUCCACAAAUACAUUUGUCCGCAUAUGGAUUUUGUCAACAAAGUGAACUGUCUAAUAAGCGUGUUUCAGCUCCUCGUGUGUAAACUGACAAGAGAAAAUGUCUUUUUUUGCAGACUUCUGCUAUACAGAAGAGAUAAAUGGUGCUUCCCGUGACUACUGUGAUGAAAACAACAGGCAAUACCCAUGUGUUGCAGGCAAGAAAUACCAUGGCCGCGGACCAAUCCAACUAUCAUGGAACUACAACUAUGGGCCAGCCGGAAGGAGCAACAACUUUGAUGGAUUGAACAAUCCUGACAUUGUAGCAAGGGAUGCUGUUGUGUCAUUUAAGACAGCCUUAUGGUUUUGGAUGAAAAGUGUUCGUCCUGUUGUAAGCCAAGGUUUUGGAGCAACUAUUCGAGCCAUUAAUGGUAAUGAAUGCAAUGGUGGAAACUCAGGUGCCGUUCAGGCUCGUGUUAGAUAUUAUAGAGAUUAUUGCAGUCAACUCGGCGUUGCUACUGAGAAUAACCUCGCUUGCUAGGUUUUAAAAUAACCGGAGUUGUUAUGCCAAGUUAUGGCUAAUCAUAUGAAAAUAAGAUGUACUGCUAUGAAACAAGUUGAAGAGAAAUAAAGUUUAUAAUUAUCGUUAUGUCUCUUAUAGUUUUUCAGUAAUUUUGAUGUCCCUUUUUAUAUUUAUUUUUAUUACUUAGAAAAACCUCCACUUUACGUGCCAUAAAUUUGUUUUGAAAUUCAAUUUACGCCUUGUAUUUUAUUUUCCAUCAAUUUAAUCCAAUUUGACCAAAAGAUUGGAUCCAUCGAACCCAAUAUAUUAGCAAUUUGAAAUUGAAAUCACUAUAUGUGUGCAUAUUCAUUUAUUCUUCCAUUUCCGUAAUAAAUUUUCAAAUUUAUGUUAAUAUCAGUAGUAGGAUCUACUCUAAUUAAUAACUUCUUGAGUAAAACAAAAACCAAAGGAAAAAAAAUAUAUUUUUAAAUAACUCUUUUUUCCCAGGAAUUUGUCCUCAUUUUAAUAAAUCUUGAUUUUUACAUAUUGCUUAUGCUAGAGACUAGAUAGAGACGAGAAGGUAUGCGUUUUUUCCCGUCCCAGUUAUACAAGCAUAUUGUUACAAUGAUCUCCAUAUAUAUUUUUUAUAUCAAUACAAGAUAAAAAAAUAAAAAAAAAAUAUUAAUUUAGUGUUUCACGUAAGGACACUAAAAAUCAUGUUGAGCCGACGUUGAACAUCAUCAAUAUUAAUGGAGAGACUUUUCAAAGAAGAUGUCAAGUCCAUUUCUUACAUGAUAGCAAUUGUGGAUUGGGGUCCAUGUCCAUGGACAACAUCGCAUUGAUCUUGAUGUUAAUGAAACAAGUUUGAAAUACAGUGGCAAAAAAUCGAUUUGCCAGACAAAAAAAUGAAAAAUGAAAAAUUAGGCAACUUCCAGUUAUUUCCUUUUGCUUCCCAAUUAUCAUAUUGUUUGGCGGUGCUAGGCCAUGUGCUUGGCUCACUUGACCGACAGCACUAUACGUUGCUACCCAUUUCUUAUCCAGCUAGCUAGAUGCGGAAGAAACGUUGGUGUUUUUUUUAAUACAUUUCCAAAAAAAAUAAUACUUUAAAAAAUAAUUAUCAUUACAUUUUUAAUGAGUUAAUCACCAAGAGAUAGAGAAAGUGUUGCGUGUUAAAAAAUCAAUUCAGUCUAGUAACUUAAGUUAUUAGGUUAGAUUUCAAGAUAUGAUUUAUAUUAUUUUAUAACAUACUAUUUCAAGUCAUUUGGAUUGUAUAUAUCCAUAUUACUUUGUGCUUAAUUUUUAUCAAAUAAAUGAGGAUGAUGAGUGUUGCUACCCAAUUUUUGACCCAUGUUUUAAUAUAUUUUCAAAAGAUCCAAAAAAAAUAAAAUUGAAAAACAAAGAAAAUCCAAAAAAAUAUGUUUUUAAUAUAUUUUCGUCAUUUUAGCAUUUUCAACGUCGUUUAAAAAGAAUUUAAAUUGUUAAAAGAUUUUUCAAACGCGUUCGACUUUUCACGCGUAAUUUUUAAAAUCGUUGAUUUUCCGCAUUUUAGUUGACGUUGAUAUUGCUCGUUUUCAAAAAAUACAAAAAAAUAAGAAAAAUCAAAAUUUACAAAAAGAAGGAAGUUGAGGGACCAAGUUGAAAAAUCUAGCAAAAGUUUUCCUAUAAAUACCAUGCUAAACUGAUUUUUAAAGGGGGGCAAUUUUGAAAUAUCAGAAAAUACAAAAACAAUAACCUAACCCUAAACCUAUCUCUACCAAGCCUACAUCCCCCCUUUCCCCUUGGUUUGAAUUUUUUUUCUACAGCCGCCGGCCACAAACCAAAGCCAAACACAGCCACCCCUUCAGCCGUUUCUUUCUCAACAGACCCCCACAUUUGAACCCACGGUCCAACCAUCUCUUUCAGCCCUUUGAAACAAAAAAACAGCAGCCGUCUCCAAGCCUUUUUCCCGUUACAACAGCCACCACCGUUUUUUUUUCUUCUCUUCAACCUCACAAAGGACCAGCCGGCGGCGCCCCCUCCCCCUUUUUGGGUCUUGAGUUUUUCCCCGGCCAUCUCUGAUCUCCCUCUUCUCAGCCGGACAACCAUCAUCUCCCAGCUCUCCCCUCAGCAGCUCCUUCUUCUCCUUCGAUCCCAGCAGCAACGACCUCCACAAAAGCUCAGCCACACGCCAUCACAGAAACCAGCGGACCUCCCCCCUCCACAGAUCCUCUCUCUACUCUCCGCAACUCCUGAACCAGACUCCGGACACUCAGCGGCGCUCCUCUCAGUCACCAACAAGCGACGACCCACAGACCGACCUCGCAGCAGCUGCUCUUGCCCAGCGCCGUCGCCGCCCAACCGCCAGACCGCCACCGAUUGAAGAAGGAACGAAGGGACGCCAGGAAGGAGAAAGAUAACCGGAAACAAUAGAUCUAAAAAACGAAAAAUCAGAAUAGAUCUGGACAAAAAAAUGGAGUAAAAUCAACUGUUUGUGGCCCCCUUUUUGUAUUUCUUGUUGCAGGCAGAGGUGGCAGUGACCACCGGCGAGGAAGAAGAGAGGAAGCCGCUUUCGAUCUCCCCUGCUGUUUGGGUUUUAUGCGGCGGCGCGUGAACCCACGCGCCGCCAGUGACGGGGGCGCGUGGGGAGACGCGCCGCCCAUGCUCCUGCUGCCCUUUGUCUUCACAGAACUGUCCCUGCACUGUUAUAGAUUUUUUAGGGUUUAUUUUGUAAUUUGUUUUUAAUUGUUUGAUGUAAUAUUUGUUUAAUUUGAAUUUUUAUUUGUAUUUUGUAAAUAGGGAUGUAAAAGAAAAGAAAAGAAAAAGAGAAAAGGAAAAGAAAAGAAACAAAAAUAAUACAGUAAAAGUGAAUGUGGGUAUUUGUUUUUAUUUUUUUAAUAUAUUUUUUUAAUGAUAAAAUUGCAGAUAUUAAAAGAAGAAUUUAAUAUUUUGAUUGGAUCACGGUUAAGAAUUAUUAACUUAUACGUAAGUGAUAUUUCUAAUUUCCGAUGAAAAGACAAUUAUUAAAACUUUUUUUAACACGUCAAAGACACGAAGCAGCUUACCUCAGGUAGGGUGCGUUAGGGGUGCAAAUACCUUCCCUAACCACAACCAGUCCCUUACCCGCGAAUCUCUGACAAGACCAGUACAUCCGGUUUCCUAGUAGCCUUCAAUGAAUUACUAGGUGGCGACUCCAACGAACCGAUUCAAGCAAACGUAACGCAACAACGAUAAAAAUCGUCAGCCGAUGCCGCGCGCCGACUGAUUUUUUUGGGGUGCGACAAUGAGAUUUGAAUUCGUGAUCAUUUAAUUAUCAAGGGUUUAAUAUCAUGUUAAAAAAUAAUCUUAACCUAAUAGCAUAAGCUACUAGAUAAGGUUUUAAAAUAUAAUUUAUAUUAUUUUUUAAUAUUAAACUAUUAAAUUAAGAUUUUCUUUAAGACUGUGAGGUAGAAAUUGAGUUGAGUUGAGAAGAGUGUUUCUCCUCCUCCUUGGAAUAUGAACGGCAUCUCUAAUUAAUAAAACAGAUAUUGUAGGCAAAUUAGUCAACCACAUGCGUCGAUUCUGGGCAUCCAUUUUUAUCCUAACAGUUAGCUACAAAAACUAGAAAAAGAAAGGAGCACUAGAAGACGGGUUUAAUUUUAUUUUUUCCUAACCUUUCAUUUAUGGUGAAAGGUUGUCUUCUCUAUCUUAAAAAUAUAUAGGAAGGGGACGUAGAUUUUGGGUAAGUAGCUAGUCAACGACGGCUAUGCCCAUUCUAUGCCAUUGGGCGCCAGUAACUUCAAAUAGCUACUUCAAACUAUUGACUGUUGGUUAUGUAUUUUAAAUUUUUUUUAAAAUUUUUAAAAUUUUAUUAUUAACUUCAAAUUAAUAUAUUUUUAUUGUUUUUAAAUUAUUUUGAUAUGCUGAUGUCAAAAGUAAUUUUUUUUUUAAAUAAAAACAAAAUCAUUAACAUGUAUUUAGACAUAAAAAAUUAUUUAAAGAGCAACCACAACUACACUGCACAAAAUAAAAUAAAUAAUAAGAUAUUAUGUUGUUUUUCGUGAGGAGAUAGGGUUGGACAGCCUUUUUCCUCCAAAGUCUGAACUAGCAUGUGGUAAACUACCAAUUGAAUCUGUGUCUUUUAUGUGGACAAGAUUUCUAUUUUCUUGCCUAACUUCUUUCGACUUUUGCUUGAAAUGGUAGUGGUUGCUUAUCCUUUCCUAGUUGCUUGAAAAGUAAUACACAUAAGCCAGCAAUGGAACAAACAAUUGGUACGUAUGAUUACCAUCUAUCGUGUGCUGCCGGUAACAGCACAAUACAAAGUUAAAACUUCAUGUUUUUUUUUUAAAAAAACUAACGUUAUGAAUAUCCAAAAGCCUUGAAAUGAUUUAGACAAAAAAAUCCACCGUUAGUGAUUGGAUGUUCAAAUAUCUCAUUCGCUGCGACGAGGUCGGAUGUUAGAAAUAUGGGUGAACUCUCCUCCAGUUUUGAAUAGCUUUAGCUUCCUCGGUUUUUCCUAUAUUUGAGAUACGACUCGAAAACAAAAGGGUUGAUAUUAUUUUACAUAUAUACGACAUGUAUUCCAUAUAUAUAGAUCCAUGAUAUACAGCGGAUUAAUAAAAAUUAAUUUUUUUCAAAUAUCAAAAAAAUAUAAAAAGUAUAGAAAUUUUUUUAACUAUCCUUAAAAUAUCCUAAAUAAUUUUUUAUAAAAAAAAAUAUUUAAACUACCCUUAAAAUAUCAUAAAACAAAAUACAAAUUAAGUUUUUUAUAAUUUUUUAAAAAACAUUAAAAUUACCCUUGAAGUGUUCUAAAUAAUGUUUUUUUAAUUGUUUUUAAUUUUUUAUAAAAAACUUUAAACUACCCUUCAAAUAUGAUCUUAAAUCAAAAUACUAAUUAGUUUUUUAUAGAUAUUUUUUUAUUAAAAAAACAUUUGAACUACCCUUGAAGUAUCCUAUAUAAUUUAUUGUAUAAAUGUUUUCUAUUGUUUAUAAAAAAAAUAUUUAAAUUACCAUUGAAGUAUCAUAAAUAAUUUUUUUAAUACAUUUUUUUUAUUUUUUAUAUAAAAAAUUAAAUUACCCUUAAAGUAUCAUGAAUAGAAACACUAAUUAAUUUGUUUUAUAAAUAUUUUAUUUUUUAAAAAUAAAUAGGUUUGGCAGCCAUGCUAGACCCAAUAAUCUUGGGUCUCGCAGUAAUACCAAGCCUAGAAUCCUUGGAUCUGGUGGCAAUCCGAGACCCAAGAACGCUGGUUCUAGAGGGUAAACCAUACACAAUAGCUUUAUGUUUGAUUGCCAUGUCAAACCCACUAUGCUUGGGUUAGGCGGUUAUGCCUUGGCUCAACACGUUGUAGCAACUUUUAGAAAAAAUGGAAAAGAUAAAAAUGGUAAAAAAAAUUAUUUUUUUUCUAGUUUUUACAUAUAAAAAAUGAAACUAUCCUUCAAGUAUUCUAAACUGAAAUUCUAAUUAAUGUAUUUUAAAAUUUUAUUAUUAUUUUUAUUAAAAGCAUAAACUACCCUUGAAUUAUUAUAAAGAAAAACGCAAAUUAAUUUUAUUUAUAGUGUUUUUUUUUGUUUUUUCUAUUAAAAAAAUAUUAAAACUACCCUUGAUGUAUCUAAAUAAAAAUACUAAUUAGUUUUUUAUAAAUUUUAUUUAUUUUUUAUGAAAAACAUAAACUACCCUUGAAUUAUUAUAAAGAAAAACGCAAAUUAAUUUUAUUUAUAGUGUUUUUUUUUGUUUUCUCUAUAAAAAAAUAUUAAAACUUUUUUUAAUUUCUAUUAUUUUUUAUAAAAACAAACAUUUAAACAACUAUUGAUGUAUCAUAAACAACAAUGUAAAUUAAUUUUGUUUUAUAAUAUCUUUAUUUUUUAUUUCUAAAAAAAAUAUUAAAACUACCCUUAAUGUAUCCUAACUAAAAUUUUAAAAAACGUUUAGUGCAUGUUUGUAAUAAAUUGAAUGAUCAUCCAAUGAAUGUAAGUUUUUUAAUAAUGAGUUGUUAAGUUAUAUAUUCAGAUUAUUUGAUUACUCUACAAAUUUUAAUUUUCUUUUUGCAUAUUAAAAGUUCAUAAAGAUUUUAAUACAUCAUUACAAGUUUAAGUUUGGAGUUGUAAGAAAAGUGUAAUGUUUAUAUCAAUAACAUUAAAUUUAACUUUUAACUUUGAAAUUCAAAAUCCUUUAAAUUGAAUAGAGGUAGGCAUAAAAGAACCCGAAUCACUGGGUCUACCAAAUCAAAGAUCCAGUUUAUGUAGGUUAUAUUGUCAUUAAAGUGUCCAAAGCACAAACUGUGCUCCACUAGUUUACUUUUCAAAGCUGCAAAGCUUCAAUCUCAACAUAUAUCUGCGCACAAAAUAGUUGCAAGGAUCAGUAAAUCUUGAGAAUAAACAACUAAUUAAUGGGAUAAAAGAAAGAUCCAAUAGUUUUUCGAUACAAAUAAUAAUUUCAUACUGAUAGGUCUUGUGAGCAAGCUGCAUCUUUCCUUUCCUAGAUGAAAUUCAUGUGAAAUAUUUUUUUCGACAGUCCAACUCUUUCAUUUUUCGGUUUCUGUUCUUUCAAUCUUAACUGAAAAAUUAGACUUAUACCAAUCAACUUCUUCAACUAGGAUGUAAUAUUAGCACUGAAACUAUAUAUAUAUAAAAUUGCAGCUCGAUCACUAUCCUAGUCUUUCUAUUAAAAAUUAUGAGUACUGCAAAUUACAGAACCACUUGUAUAAACUGGCUUUGACCCCUACCAGAACCUUGCUAGGAUAAUAGAAAAGAAUAAACCCAUCACUUUUUAUUUAUUGUCAUGAAUAUGAUAAAACUAAACUAGCUGUUUCUUACGAUGCUAUAUAAAAAGAUUCAAAAUCACCAAGAUUUUGUACUUGGUUUGUAGUAAAAUAGAAUUUUGAUUUGUUUCUUCCUGCAAUCCUCGCAUGAAAAAUAGCAUUAAUGAAAGACUCUAUGGAAGUAAAAAGGUCACUUUGGCUAUCUUUCAUGUCCAUUUGAUCACUCCAAAAUAAUAGAGGAGUUGGAAAAGCCAAUUAAUGAGCAGCUAAAAGCCCAAGGUAUAUUAUCUUUGUCACACGGGGGGCACGAUGUCAGGGGUGAUGACGAGCUUUUCAUGCUUCCUGAGGAGGUGUCGUUGUUGGGAAAAGAAAUAGGUUUGGGUUUAAUCAUAGAUUAUAAUUAAGUUUUGGAGCCGCUACCUAGUAUUAUAAUAAAUAGAAACCUAUGGUUUGCAAGAGUCCGGGUAAAAGACUAGUUGUGUGAGGGGAUGACACAUCACUCCUAGUGCACCCUACCUAAGAUACAUUGCAUUGUUACUUGAUUGUUUUUCUAUGUCAAGUUUAUAUUCGUUGGUCUUUUUUCUAAGGUUCAAGGUAGAUCUUUCUUCGUGAGUCUUUACCUCAUCGGGUUUAAUUAUAACUAUUUUAAAGAUCAAAUUUUAGCAUUGCAUUUAUUUUACACUUCGUAUCUUUAAUACUAAAAGAUAUACUCUACUAUGUAGUUUUAUACCACACAAACGUUAAAGUCUACAUCUAAACCCUAGGAAAAUGAUUGGUAAAGGGUUUUUGAAAAUUUAGUCAAAUUCUAAUGGACAAUCAUAAACUAGUUACAAUAUCCAAAUUUUUUUAAAAAAAACAUGAAAAAUAUGCAUUUUUUUUAUGUUUUUUUAUGAAAAUAUGUUUGGAAAACUUUUUAGGAUUUGGACGUAUGUAUAAAAACAAAAAAAAAAUAUUUUUUUAUUUUUUGAAAUGGAAAAUUAAUUUAAAAGUUUUGAAAUUUAUUUUGAUUUUUUUAAAAUAUUUUUUAGAAAUUUUCAGAGAAAAUCAGGUAUGUUAAUACCGGAUUUGUAUCUGACAAUGUAAAUAUACAACCUAAUAUUAUACAAAAUUGAUAGAAAAACAUUCGAGAAAAUCAAAAUGUUUUUGAAAAGAUGUUUUAUUUUUUUUAUAAUAUUAUAAAUAAAUAAAUAUUAAAUAAAUAUGGAUAGUAUAGCCCAACUAACUCGAUCGAACUUAACCCAAGAAAUAUAAGGUUGGUCCCAACCCAAGAAGGGUGUUGGGCCAAUCUUGUUCCAACACAUUAUUUUUACGUUUUUAGUACGGAUUAGAACCAUCCUAAUUAUUUGGGAUGGGCUAGAAAUAGCCUAACUCAAAGUUAAUAGUUGAACAUGAAGUAUACAAUGGGCUAUAAUUCAUACCCAUUGUUGAUGCAUGAUUAGUAGGAUAGUAGGAUGUGAAUUACAAUCCAUGCUUACUGUUUAUGUGAACAGAGAGGGAAGAAGAGGAAAGGGGGCUCACUUGGCUCAUGGGUUGCGGAUAUCGUCAAAUGAAAUCCAAUUACAAUUUCAGGAUUUGUUAGCAACAAUUCCACGACGUCGCAUCCAAUGUUUCUCAGACGCAUGAAAGCACAAGGCUAAGCUUCUCUCUUCAAGUGGAAGUCUACAGCAUAUUGAAGAUGAAUGUGAGGUGGAAUCCCAAGGCUCACUGGACUCAGGAAUCAGACAAGGGAAUCUUCGUUGUUUAACAUCUUCAAAUUCUGUUGUUGAGGCAGAGGUGCAGGGAACGUUGAAAACUGGGCGGGCAUUGGGUUUUGGAAUGUUGAGGACUUGCAGGUGCUGGGAACAUCCAUUAGAGGCCAGGUGGACAGAAAGCUGGAAGAUUGGAAUGACGACCAAUAAUGCCAUUUUGCAGCUCGACAGUGGAUAUGUAUUACCUUCUUUCUUAAUGAAGAUCUUACUCUGGAAUAGAUGUGGAUUGGGUAUGUCUGCUAAGGGGGUAUCGAUUAGGAAUACUGUUCUGCAUAAUGACAUUAAGGUGUGUUUUCUGCUAGGAACUAAGAGGGCAAUGUGCUGUGACAAUUUUGUUCAUGCAUUAUAGAAUAACUUAUCAGUCAAAUGGUUUCCACUUAAUUCAGUUGAUUAGGCUGGAGGUAUUUUAGCUACGUGGGAUGAAAGUAAGUUCAUGGUUCAUUCAAUUGGAUUGCAUAUUGAGAAGCAAUUUACUUGUGCAAUCAUAGGAGUCUAUGCAGGAAUCAUAGUUCAUGUGAGACACCUUUGUUCAUUGUUGGGGACUUCAAUGAAACAUUGCAUCAGUGUAAAAGUAACAGUGGCUAUUUGAAUGGCAUUGGUUCUACGGAUUUCAAAAGAUUCAUAUCCAAUUGCAAUCUUUUGGAGUAUCCCCUCUCUGGUCACCAUACACAAGAUUUCAUGGCAACUCAAUGAGUAGAACUGAUAGAGCCUUUGCCACUCCAUACUUCCAUUUAACAUUCUCAGGUCUCCUACUCAAUCGGUUUCCACAAGAAUUGUCUGAUCACUGCCCAAUGAUCUUAGGACUGCAAUGCCAAACUUGGAGAUGGAAGCCAUUUCGUUUCCUCAAUUGUUAGGUCUCUAAGCCUAUGUCUAUGGACAAACUUGAUGGUCUUUUCCAGGAGUGUGGUAUUAAGUACAAUGGGAGACUUCACAUGUUUAAAAAGCUUGCCUUUAUGGCUAUGAAAUUCAGAAUAUGGAAUAGAAAGGAAUUUGGCAAUCAGGACUUGAAACUGUUGCAGCUUUAGCGUGACAUCCAGCGACUGGAGAAUAUAGAAGAGGACAAACAGCUUAACCAUGAAGAACCUUCUAUGCUGCAAAUCUUGCGCUCUAAGCCGUGGGAAAUCAACAAGUUUGUGGAAUCAAUCUGCAGUACAAAAUCAAGACAGAGCUGGUGCAAGCCUUAGAGAUAAGAAUACAAAAUUCUUCCACAUUAUAGCUAAUAUUCGAAGGAGUGGAAAACUCUAUCACUCGUAUCAGAUACAAUGAUAUACUGCAUACCUUUCCCAAGGACAUCAAGGAGGCGGCAAUAUCCUAUUUCUCAAGUCUGUUCACUAAUGAAAUCUCUACAAGAGCUACAAUGGGGUUCAAUAAACUAUCCAUAAUGCAAACUCAACAACUUGAACAAGCGGUAACUAUGGAAGAGGUCAAGCAAAUGAUUUGGAGUUGUGAUGGAACAAAAGCCCCAGGUCUUGACUGCUUCACCUUCAUUUUCUAUAAAAACGCAUGGCAUUUGAUAGGGCCUAACAUUUUUUAUAUGGUGCUUGAAUUUUCUGGACUAAGGAAAUUACCAACAGGAAUUAACAUCUCUCAUAUGGCCUUUGUUCCAAAAUCAAAGCUAUCUACAGAAUUUUCAGAGUAAGGCCAAUAAGUUUAGUGCAUGGCUUGUACAAAAUUAUAGGUAAACUGCUAUCCAACAAAUUGAAAGUCAUUAUGCAUAGUAUUAGCGCUAAUCCAACAACUUUCAUCAAAUUUUAGAUGAUUUCAUGAAGGCUAACGAAGUUGUACACAAUGUUAAGAAAAGUGGGCACAUAGUUUGGUUAUGAAAGUGGACUUUCAUAUAAGACUUUUAAUUGAGUGGUACAGGAGUACCUAGGGAAAGUGAUGUCAUAUAUGGGUUUUUAGAGGAGGUGGACUUCUCUAAUACAUCAAUGCAUUACGAGAUCUAAAUUAGCUAUUUUUAACAUCGUCAGAAAAUUAAUAAAUACAAAUGAAAAUAUUGAUAAAAAUAUUCCGUCGAUAAAUUGCAGUAAAUUUUACCGAUGAAAAUAUUUCAUCGGUAUAUACUGAAGGAAUUACAGUGGGCAAAAAAAAAAAAACAAAGUCAAAAAAUACGAUGACAUGUCAUUUAUAUCAACAAAAUUACCAACGGAAUAAAUUUCAUUGGUAAAAUCAUUGAUAAACUAUUAACAUUGUUCAUCAUGUCAAGUACAAAAGGAAUUGCCAACGGAAAAUUAUGUUGAUAUUUACUAGAGAGCUCUAGAACUGUUUACUUUCCAUUUGCGUUGUUAAUUAAUAUUCUUUACAAAUAAAAUCACCGACGGAUUGAAAAGUCGUCGGUGUUAUUUGGUGGGUUUCUAAUUUUUUUUGAUUAAAUUGAAAAUUUAAAUUAAAUAUUAUAGACGGAAUCAUCGACGAAUUGAAAAGUUGUCGGUGAUAUUUGGUGGUUUUUGAAAAAUUUUUAUUAAAUUGAAAAUUUAAAUUAAAUAUUAUAGAUGGAAUCACCAACGAAAUGAUUAAAAAUAUUAAAAUUUAAUUAUCCAUCGGUAAAACUGUCAGUAAAACACCCGAAUAAAAAGCCGAAAUCUCUAAUUUCACAACAAAGAGACCUCAUUUCUUCUUCUUCUUCUUCUUCUUCUUCUUCUUCUUCUUCCCCAUAAGUAAAAAAAUGACCAUCCCUUUCUUUCUCUUCUCUUCUCUUCUCUCCUUAACUCCUCUUCUCCUUCAUACUCAGGUAUGUCUUCUUCUCCUUUCUUCUUUUCUCUUCUCAAUUUUUUCUAAUUAAUAUACUUCUUCUCCUUCAUAUGAAAUCAAUUUUUAGUUCACUUAUUUUUAGAAAUCGCAACUUUAUUUUUUCAUAUGAUUGUUUAUAGUUGAAUUUAUUUUUUGUGUUAUUUAUUUGUUGUAAAUUUAUUUGAGUUGAUUUUCUUCUUUUGUUUUUCCUAGUAACUCAAUUUUGAGUAUUAUUAAGUGUUGAUUUAUAUUAAUUUAAUUAUUUAAUAGUUUUGUAAAAUAGAUUUUUUAAAAAUAUUUUUAAAUAAUCACCGAUGGAAUUACAUAUGGUAUUUUUCUAAGGAAAAUAUCGACGUAAUGAAGCGGGUAAUUUUUUUCACGCUUUUUUUGUUAGUAAAUCCAUCGGUAAUAAUAUUUUUUAUUAUCAACGGAUAAAAAAUUACAGAUAAAAGAUUCAUCGAUGGAGCAUUUUCAUCUGUGAUUCCAUCGAUAAAUUAAUUACUAAUAGAAUGAUAGUACAAAUACCGAUAAAAAAUUCCAUCGGUAAAUAUAAAGAUUAUGAUAGUGUAUUAAAGGUUCACCAAGCGCGGAGUUUAGAGUAGAACGUGACUAUGUCAAGGCAAUAAUCACUAUUGCCUUUUCUUUUUGACAUAUAUAUGAAGGGGUUAUCAGUUCUAUUUAAAAGAGCUUCCACUUCUGGAUUAUUUAAAGGAAUCCAUUAUGGAAAUGGGAUGUAUAUGAGUUUUUGCAUAUGAUAUCUUAGUGUUUAUUCCUAAUCAUUUCAUUUUGAUAAUUAAUGCUAAAAGAAUUUUGAGGUGGUUUGAAUUGAGAUCUGAAGGUUAAUUUUUGUAAAAAUUCACUAGCUGACAUUAACCUAGAUGAUGAAUUUACAGUAGGAAUAACAAAUGUGAUAAAUAGCAUCCGCACAAGACUAGUUUCAUGGAAAGGUAAGUUCUAGCGAAAUGCAUUCACGAUGUUAUCAUAUGGAAUUUUGUGGGGGUAUUUGGACUGCAAGAAACAAGCUUAUUUUUAAAGAUAAAAAGCUUGAUUGAAAUACAUUGUUUCAACUCAUACUCCAUCGUCUUGCACUUUCAUUUGAAUUAAGUUGUGCAGCGCCAAUAUUAUCACAAUAAAUCAAAGGCACUUGUUUAACUGAAUAUUGAAGUUCAUUUAAUAAUGGACAUACCCAGCUAAUUUCUAAACCAGUGUCAGCAUUGACGAUAUUCAGCCUCCGUUGAUGAUCUAGCAAUGGUUUGUUGUUUCUUGGAUGACCAUGAGACAGGAUUCUGACCAAGGUAUAGAAUGUAGGCACUAGUGGAGGAGAAGUCAUCCUUGUUUCCCCCCAAUCUGCAUCUAAAAAUGCAUGCAAGUGAGCAGGUGAUUGAUGAUACAGAAGAAGACCUACGUUACUGGUGCCUGAAAGAUAACGUAGGAGGCGUUUGACAAGUUUCCAAUGUUCUUCAGUCGGGUUGUGCAUGAACUGUGACAACUUGUUCACAACGAAAGAUACAUCUGGUCGGGUGAGUGAAAAAUAUUGAAGACUUCCAAAUGUGGCAUGACAUUCUGAAGGAUCUAAGAGCAACUUACCCAUUGCAAGAGUGGGAGGAGGACCUGGUGGCAGUGGAGUAGCCAUAGGCCGUGAGUUGCUCAUGUUGGUAUGAUGCAAGAGAUCUUGAAUAUAUUUGUACUGAGAAAGCACCAACCUGCAAGGAUGUGAUUAUAUUUCUACACCAAGGAAAUAAGUCAGAGAACCCAAAUCUUUUAGGGAGAACCGCUUGGCUAAAUUUUGAACAAGUAGAUCGACUGCAUGCUCAUCAUCACCGGUGAUGAUAAUGUUGUCUACAUAUACCAAUAAAUAUAGAAGAUGUCCAUGAUGUUUAAGAAUGAAUAAGGACGUAUCAUUCACUGAAUUUGUGAAGCUGCUAGCAAUCAGAAUGGAGUGAAGCUCAUGGUACCACACACGUGGUGCUUGCUUUAGGCCAUAAAUGGCUCUACGCAGUUUGCAAAUGAAAUUUGGUCAUUCUUUAUCUACAAAGACAGGAGGUUGAACUAUGUAUACAUCUUCCUAUAGAUGUCCCUGCAGAAAAGCAUUGUUGACAUCCAAUUAUCACAGCUUCCACCCAUUACUAACUGCAAUGGACAUGACAAGAUGAACUAUGGUUGGCUUGACAACUGGAAUGAAGGUUUUGGUAUAGUCAAGCCCUGGUCGCUGGUGAAAGCCUUUGGCCACCAAGCAUGCUUUAUAACAAGAAACACUGCCAUCUGAAUUGCGCUUCACCCUGAAAAUCCAUUUAUAAUCGACUAAGUUAGAGGCAUAUUGAGGAGAAACCAAAUCCCAGGUUUGAUUUUGGAUGAGAGCAUUAAACUCAUCCUGCAUGGCAUGACGCUAUUGGGCAUCCUUUAAAACAUUGGCAGCAGAUGUGGGCUCCUGAAUAUCAGUUGUGGGAAGAUGUGAAAGGAAGGUGAGUUUGCGGAUAGGUUUGUAGAUAUUGUUUUUGGAUCCAGUUGUCAUGGGAUGAGAAGAGGCAACAGGUUGAGCUGGGGGUGGAUGAGUGAUCAGUGGGGAUGUUGAGGUGGGCAGAACAGUGGAAGGUUGUGUCAGUUGUAUGGCGGAAGGGCUACUGGUGGCCGUUGUAAUGGAGCUGCUGACAGGGUGUGUGGCAGAGGGUGGAACUGCAGGUGGUAUGAACGGAUGAGAUUGAGGCGCAGGUGCCACAAUAGAAAGAAUAGGAGGUGUCAAUGCAUGCAGAGAUGAAGAGUUUGACACAUAUUGUGAUUGUAGUAAAUUAGGAUAUGGAAAAAUGGACUCAACAAAUCGAACAUGACAAGAAGAAAAAAAUUUUGAAGACUGUGGAUCAAAGCAAAUGUAAGCACUUUGAGAUAAGGAGUAUCCAAGAAAUAUGAAUGGUUUGGACCAGACAUCUAGUUUAUGAGCUGAAUAUGGAUGUAGCCAUGGAUAACACAAACACCCGAAAAUUCACAGUUUAGCAUAGUUCGGAGAUUUUUGAAAAAUAAGGUCAAAAGGAGAAAAAUAGUUUAAAGAAGGUGAUGACAUCCGAUUAAUUAAAUAAAUGGCAGUGGAAACGCAAAUGACCAAAAGUUUUGAGGUAAUGAAGCAUGAGUUAGAAGUGAAAGACCUGUUUCUACUAUGUGUCUGUGUUUUUGUUCAGAGAUACCAUUAUGUUCAAGUGUGUGUGGUGGGGAAGUAUGAUGAGAAAUGCCAUGUGUUUGAAAAAAAUCUUUGAGAGCUGUAAAUUCACCGCCAUUAUCGGAAUAGAAAGUGAUUAUUUUAUGCUUGAAAUAAUUUUCAACAAUGACUUUAAAGCGUAUGAAAGUAGACUUGACAUCUGAUUUGUGUUGCAAAGGAUAAAACCAUGUAUAACGUGUAAAAUGACCCACAAAGACAAUAUAAUAUUUAAAGCAAUCAAUUGAGUGCAUAGGAGCAGUCCAUACAUUAGAGAAAAUUAUUUCAAGAGGAGCAUGAGACUCUAAAGUGGAAGCUGAGAAUGGAAGUUUAUGACUUUUGUUACAUUGACAUGCAUUGCAGGAAAUCUGUUUGGUCAUGGAACAAGUGUUUAACUUGUUUUUAGAAAGAAUAACAUUAAGAAUAGGCAACGAUGGGUGACCUAAUCUAAAAUGCCAAUUUAUUGGUGCAGUUUUGGAAAUAGAAAAUGCGGUUGGAGAAGGGGACAUUGGAUUGAACCCCGGCCAUUCAUAAAUGCCACCUUUGCUCUCACCCUGAGCGCGAACCAAUGUUUAAGAGUUGGAGGCAGGAUUAAGAGUGUUUAAGGUGUCAGUGAUGAUAUAUUGUGGUGGACAAGGUUUGGUUCCAUCAACAAAACCUUGGAGAUCAUAACCUAUAAAAAGUGUUUGGAAUUGCAGCUUCCAUGACAAAUAAUUUGAGCUGGUGAGCUUGAGAGGAGCCUGUGCCGUGACAUUAAUGGUCACCAGGUUGGGCAGGCUGGAGUGAUAUUAGUUUGUGUUGUUGGGAUCAGUCAUGAUGAGAAGGAUGAGAAAGAAAAAAAUAUUAAAGAUGCUCUGUUACCAUAUAAAGAGUUAAUAUGCCUUGCAAUAUAUCUUCUUAUUAAUUCAAUGACGAUAUAUAUACAACCAUGAAGAAUGAAUAAGAUAAGCUUUCCUAACAACCUAGUAAUAGAGAAUUAAUUUAAAUUCAAAAUACUGGAAUUCUAUUAGCAUUUGUAUUACUGAAGACUAGUACAUAAUCCUAACUAUACAUGAUUCCUGAAGACCAGCACUGUAAAGUCGUAUGUUGCUGGCUGACAUUAAGCUCUUAAUUAAUGAGAGGAAAAUGUAGGGUUGGAAAAAAGUUUGGAAGUGAUAAUCAGUACAUACCAAGCCAAAUAAGAUUGUCUCAUGUAGUAACAGACACAUGGUACUAAAUAGGAUUGUGUCCGGUGUAGUAAUAAAGUUUCUACCUUCUAUGGUAUAUAAAAUGUCUGACCACUUCAACAACAUGUCACGUAAAGAGUACAUUGAUGUCAUUAUCCUAGAAAUUUUUGCCAAACUUUAUUUAUUUUGCUAAACUUUAUAUACUAAAUUAUAAUCAACUCCUAGAUAUUUUACACGUAAAAUUAGAGACCUCGUCCACUUUGUGCCUCUAUAAAUAGCUUAACCUCGACCUUAUCUCCACACAUCACAAGAAAUUCCUUUCUCUCUUUGCAUAUCAAUAUCAAAACUCCCUUCAGGAGUAGCGAAAAUGAGAAGCAAUAUUCUACUUACCAUUAUCUUAGCCAUAGUUCUUGCAGGAGCCCUGCCCAAGAAUGUGGUAGAGGCUCAAAAUUGUGGCUGUGCUGCAAACCUUUGUUGCAGUCAAUAUGGCUACUGUGGCACUGGCAAUGCCUAUUGUGGUCAGGGAUGUAAACAAGGGCCCUGUUAUUCAUCGCCUACGCCUACUACCCCUAGUGGGAGUGGUUCUGUUGCUGAUAUUGUUACGCCUGCUUUCUUCAAUGGUAUAAUCAACCAAGCUGCUGCAAGCUGUGCUGGGAAGAAUUUCUAUACAAGAAAUGCAUUUCUCAGUGCUGUCAAUUCAUAUUCUCAAUUUGGUAAACUUGGUUCAGCUGAAGCUUCUAAGCGUGAGAUCGCAGCUUUCUUCGCUCAUGUUACUCAUGAGACUGGACGUAAGUUCCUCUUCCAUCCCUAAUAACAUUUCUCGCAGCAUUCGAAUAUGGAUUUUGUCAACAAAGUGAACUGUCUAAUAAGUGUGUUUCAGAUCCUCGUGUGUAAACUGACAAGAGAAAAUGUCAUAUUUUGCAGACUUCUGCUAUAUAGAAGAGAUAAAUGGUGCUUCCGGUAACUACUGUGAUGAAAACAACAGGGAAUACCCAUGUGUUGCAGGCAAGAAAUACUAUGGCCGCGGACCACUCCAACUAUCAUGGAACUACAACUAUGGGCCAGCCGGAAGGAGCAACAACUUUGAUGGAUUGAACAAUCCUGACAUUGUAGCAAGGGAUGCUGUUGUGUCAUUUAAGACAGCCUUAUGGUUUUGGAUGAACAGAGUUCGUCCUGUUGUAAGCCAAGGUUUUGGAGCAACUAUUCGAGCCAUUAAUAGUAUAGAAUGCAAUGGUGGAAACGCAGGUGCUGUUCAGGCUCGUGUUAGAUAUUAUAGAGAUUAUUGCAGUCAACUCGGCGUUUCUACUGAGAAUAACCUCACUUGCUAAGUUCUUAAAUAACCUGAGUUGUUAUGCCAAGUUAUGGCUAAUCAUAUGAAAAUAAGAUGUAUUGCUAUGAAAUAAAUUGAAGACAAAUAAAGUUUAUAAUUAUCGUUAUGUCUCUUAUAGUUUUUCAGUAAUUUUGAUGUCCCUUUUAUAUUUAUUUUUGUUACUUUGAAAAACCUCCACUUUACGUGGCCAAAAAUUUGUGUUGAAAUUCAAUUUACGCCUUGUACGUAUUUUAUUUUCCAUCAUUUGAGUCCAUUAUGACCAAAAGAUUGUCCAUCCAACCCAAUAUAUUAGCAAUUUGAAAUUGAAAUCACUAUAUGUGUGCAUAUUCAUUUAAUUUAUUCUUCCAUUUCCAUAAUACAUUUUUCAAAUUUAUGUUAAUAUCCAUAGUAGGAUCUACUCUAAUUAAUUACUUCUCGAGUAAAACAAAAAUUUCAUGAUUAUGACAUUUUUUCUUUUUAUGUUUUUUAAAAUGAAAGGUUGUAUUGCCUUGCCUAUUAUGUUUAUAAUACAUGUUCAGCUUACUUUUCAUCUUUCAAAUUUGGUUGAUGCAGAGUGUUUUUUUAAAUGAUUUUUAUUUAAAAAUAUAUUAAAAAUAUAUUUUAUUUUUCAUAUUAGUAUAUUCAAACAAUAAAAAAAAACUUUUUCAAAAACAAAUUAAAAUUUAAAAAAUACAGUUCAACCACACUUCUAAACAACACCGAAGUUAAAAAGAAACUAAGUUGUGGUUUUUUAGAUGUUAAGAGCCUAUUUGAGAACACGGUGUAAACCACAUUCUUUUAAAUUUUAAAAAAAAUUGCUAAAAUUUAUUUUUUUAUGUCUUGAGAUUGUUUUAAUGUGUUAAUGUUAAAAAUAAUUUUAAAAAAUUAAAAAAUAUAUAUUUUUUAAAAAACAACUUUAGACUGCAACAACUAUUGAAAUUUUAAACAGUCCAUAAGAAAUUGAAUUGAAUUGUACUAGGAUCUUUGCCAUGGAAUCACUAUUGGGAUUAUUUAGUGGUUCAAAAUCAUGUUGAGCUAGCCGACGUUGAAAAUCAUCAAUAUUAAUGGAGAGACUUUUCAAAGAAGUUGUCAAGUCCAUUUCUGACAUGAUAGCAAUUAUGGAUUGGGGUCCAUGUCCAUGUACCAACAUUGUAUAGAUCAUGAACCAAGUUUAAUGUCAAAGGAUCGAUUUGCCAGGAAAAAAAAAUUGAAAAAUGAAAAAUUAGGCAACUUGCUGUGAUUUCCUUUUGCUUCCAAGAUAUACGAUAUGGCCGCAGUGUGGUCAAAUAUCUUGGUAGUGUUGAUUAAUGGAGAGCUAAAGCCACAGCCCACCCAUUUCUUAUCCACCUAGCCAGAUGAGGAAGAAACGAUGGCUCCUAUUUUACUUAUUUUUCAGCUGCAAGAGCUGAGUUGUAGUAAGAUGGAAUGAGUUGACAUGACAUGUGUUGGAAUGAGCUGUAUCUAUCCCAACUCGUUGCAUGUUUUGGUUAUAAAAUCUUUUUAAAAGUAUUUCUAAGUUUUUUUUGUUAUAUAUUUUUUUUAGUGUUUUAAAAUUAUUUUGAUGUAUCGAUAUUAUAAAUAAAAUUUAAAAAAUAAAAAAUUAUUGUUUAAAUGUAUUUUUAAAUAAAAUAUAAUUUUAAAAACAAAAUUUAAAUUAGCAGUAAAAACACAAUAUAAAUGUGACAAAACACAGUGAGCUAAACACCAAGAGAAAGAGUGUUUAUCCAACCUAGUUAAAUCUUAGGCGUCGAUUCUGGGCAUCCAUUUUUAUCCUGACUGUUAGCUACAAAAACUAGAAAAAGAAAGGAGCACUAGAAGACGGCUUCAGUUUUAUCUUUUUUCUAUCCUUUCAUUUAUGGUACGUUGAAAGGUUGUCUUCUCUAUGUUAAAAAUAUAUAGGGAAUUGGCUAGUCAACGUCGGCUAUGCCCAUACUGUGCCAUUGGGCGCCACUAUCCUUUCAUUGAUGGUAAUUGACUAUUCAACGUUUUUCUUUUCACAUAGUUGUGGGGUGUCUACUCUUCGAAUGGGGUUCUUCUAGUCCUAGAUAGGAUACUACCUUUUCUUUCGUUAGGAGAUAGGAUUUGGCAGACUUUUCCCUUCAAAUGCUGAAAUAAAUGCUGAAAUGGAUAGAAAAUAAUAUAAAUUAUAUUCUAAAAUUUUAUUUAAUAAUUUAAAAUUUUAGAUUGAAAUGAUUUUUGAUAUAAUAUCAAUACUUUGAUAAUUAAAUGAUCACGAAUUCAAAUCUCACCAUCUGCACUUAUUUGAUAAAAAUUAAGCACAGGGUAAUGUAAACAUGUUUAAAUUUUAAGUCCAAAAGACUUUUACUUGAGAUGACGUGUUAGAGAAUAAUAUAAAUCAUAUUCUGGAACUUUAUUUAAUAAUUUAAACUUUCAAAUUAAAAUGAAAGCUAACAAUGGUAAGCUAACAAUUGAGUCUGUGUCUUUAUGUGGACAAGAUUUCUAUUUUCUUGCCUAACUACAAAGUUUACUUGAAAUGGUAGUGAUUGAUUAUCCUUUCCUAGUUGUUUGAAAAGUAAUACGCACGUGCCAGCAAUGGCCCUGCAGGUAAUGGCGCCACAAAUGGUUUGGGAAAUUAAACUCCUUGCCCUCUCUAGGGCCUAGAUUUGUCUCCGCUGAUAGUGUGCUAAAGAAUUUAAAAGAAUUGGUAUUAGUAUUGUGAGUUUGAAGAAAAUUAGAGAAAUGAAAAAAAAAUGAGGGCGGCUAAAUUAUGGCUCUGUAAUUGGCUCUUCCAUAGACUGUAGUGGUCAGCGCCUUUGGAUUGCAAACAUCUAUGCUUCUAGAAAUCUUGAACUUCCAGUUUGUUAAGAGUUUUUAUCUAGUCACCCACGAUGGUCUGUAAUGAACUGAACAACCUAGUCAUUGAGAAGCCUAUAACACUUUAUGCAAGUCUCCAAGUGAACAAAUUUGCAGAUUAUGCUUGUCUCCUAGCAUUGAAAAUUCCCACGUUCGUAAAGCUUUUGAGGAUACUAUGAAGCUCAUCCCAUAUGAUUCCCAUCUAUCGAGUGCUGUAACAGCACAAUUCAAAGUUAAAACUUCAUGUUGAUUCAAAACAAACUAAUGUUAAGAUAUCCAAAAGCCUUGAAAUGAUUUGAGAAUUUCAAGUGUUAGACAAAAAAUCCACCAUGAGUGAUUGGAUGUUCAAAUAUCUUAUGCACUGCGACAAGGUCGGAUGUUAGAAAUAUGGGUGAAGUCUCCCUCCAGUUUUUAUAAAACACUUUUAAAAAAAAAACAAAUCAUGAGGUUGCCUUCUUCACUCUCGCCUGUAAUAUGGGCUCUCAAAAUUGAAUGUGGAGCUGGAACCAUACGACUCAUUAUCUUCAAGAUCUUCUAAAUCCUUAUUUAUUAAGUAAUGGUCACUUUUGAAACUUCCCUUUACAAAUCUUUAUUCACUAAGUUAUGACAGUUUUGUUCUUGGGCAGAACCUCCUCAACCAUAAUUAAUUCCCCUCUGCCAUAACCAUGUUUUGCGUUGUGAUCUCUAGCCAUAGUAGUUCAGCAACAUUAAAAAAAAGAAGGAACAAUAGGAUAUGAUACCAACUUGCACAAUUUAAACUAAUUAGACUGGGAAUAAAAAAAAAACAUGGGAAGAUAGAAUUCACCAAAAGGGCCAAACAAGAACCCUAGCUACAUUGUUAUUUUCAGAAUAUAUUCCUCCACCAAAAUCUACCUCAUAAAAAUAUUUUCAAUAACUUAAAUAGGUCUAUCUUCUCGAUCAAAAUGGAAAAAAUAAUCUUACAUGGAUAGAAAAAUUAAAAGCUAAAAUUUGAAAUAAAUAAAAACUAAAACUAAAAAAAAAUAGCAAUUUAUAAAUCUAAUUUGAAAGUCUUGAUUACCUCAACGAGCCAAUAUUUCACUAUAGAAUAGAUCUGCAUAAUCUUUUAAUGAAAUUUAAAUGUGAUCUAAUAAUUAAAUAAAAUAUUAUGUUUAUUUUUAUCAGAAAUAUUAUUUGGAGUGACUAAAUCUUUUCUUGGGUUUGAACUUUUUAUUUAAUCCAUAAAUGUAUUUAUUAGGUAUUUUAUAUACUCUGAUUAUUAUUCUUGUACAUUAAUAUUAGGAAUAACCACAAUAAAUAUUGGUAUGGGAAAUUAAACUCCUUAGAAUUACCUUACCCAACUCUGAAGCCCUAGAUGUACAUGGCGUGGUAAAGGAUUUAAAAGAUAUGGUAUUAGUGUAUGGGAAAGAAAUUAAACUGAGAACUUGGCUCUGCCUCGGUGCUCAGUACCAUUCGAUCUCUAACAUCUAUGCAUGCUUCUAGAAAUUUUGAGCUCCUAGUCCGUUCAAAGUUUUUUUAGCAGCCUUCCUUGAUGAUCUAUAUGAACCGAACAAUCAAGUCAUUGAGAAGCCUACAACACUUAGCCUAGUCCCUAACUUUGUGGCGCAUUGAGUGGAAGAAAUUUUCAACGUUUGACUCUAAGUAGUCACUCAUUUACGCUGUUUAGAAUCCAAGUUAAAUUUCCAUGUUGAUAAAAAAAAAAAAAAAACACCAAAGUUAAGAUGGAAAAAUUCGUUGAAUCCGUACUUCAUGAAAUUUUAAUUAUUACAUAGGAAAAUACAUGUCCAAAGUUAAAAACACAUUAUAUUAUUCAAUGAACUGUAAUAUAAAUUGAUAUUUGAAAUAUAAGGUUGUGUUGCACUCAUGAAAUGAAAUGAUAGAAAGAUCUGAUUUAGUGUUAGGUUUUAAGCCAAUAAAAUUAGUUUGAAAGGAUAAUAUUAAUUGUUUUUUAAAAUGAUUUUUUGUUUGAAAAUAUAUUAAAAAUAUAUAUUAUUUUUAUAUCAGGAUAUCAAAAUAAUAUAAAAAUAACAAGAAAAAAUUAAUUUAAAAUAAAAAAAAUUUAAUUUUUUUUUAAAUUCUUUUAAAACCUAAACAAUUUUCUCAGUCUUGUCUUCUAACAUAAAAAAAAUUAUAUAUAUAUAUAUAUAUAUAUAUAUAUAUAUAUAUAUAUAUAUAUAUAUUAUGAAGCCAACAGUAUCAAUCACAUAAUCCAUUAUCUGUCAGAGUCUCGGUACUUGAGGGAUUUGAUCCCAAAUGACACAAGCCUGGUGACUUUACUAAUCAGCUCUUUACUAGGUUUCUUGCGGGUUUUUUUUUAUCAGUAAUCCUUCUCCAAUUUGUCGUCUCAAACUGGUUUUUAAUAUCUAUUUGAUGAUCAAAGAAAAGAAAAGGCCUAAUCAUCUAACAAGUAGUUUUAAUUCUAUUUUUGUAUAUUUUCACUUAAAAUAUAUUAGAGAAUAAUAUAAAUUAUAUAUUGAAACUUUACUUAACAAUUUAAGUUAUUAAAUUGAGAUGAUUUUUUAACAUGGUAUCAAAGUAUUGAUGACCAAGUGAUCACGAGUUUAAAUCUCACUAUCCCUAUUUAUUUGAUAAAAAAUAAACACAUGAUAAUAUGGUAUUGUGGAAGUUUAAAGCCCAAAGAGCUUUCAAUUAAGAGAGUGUGUUAGAGAAUAAUAUAAAUUAUAUCCUGAGAUUUUACCUAACAGUUUAAGCUUAUGGGUUAAGAUGAUUUUUUGAUAGAGUGAAAAUGUGAGCAUAGUAAUAAAUAUCUUCCAAGUUUCAGCGGGUCAACUCAACAACCUACCAAUUAAAUAUUUUAUUUUAUUUUAAAUUGGUUUUUUUAUGAAAAUAAUAUAAAAUAUUUUUAAGAAAAUCAUAUAUCUAGUUUGUAGUUUAUAACUAAGAACGUGAGAUGUCUCUCUUGCCAUCAAGGCAUUUAGAAUUUUCAUAUCUAUCGCUAUAAGGUGCUUUGUAGUUUCAUAAAACUUUGCUUAGUGAACCUCCUUUUGUCGUUAUAAGUCAUCUAAGCAGACCCGUAUUCUACACGCACAAAUAUGUAUAAAAAUCUACAUGCUAUCCUGCUAUAUAUAUGGCCCAAACCAAACCUUAUUUUUCCAUCCAGAUUUUUUACCCUUAAUUAAAUAAAAAAACACCUUGCUUACCUUAUGUUUUUUCUUAACAUGGGAAACAAUGUACUAUCCAUCAUUCUGGCUAUGAUGCUGGCUGUAACCAUGCCGCAGUUGAUAGUGUCUCAAAAUUGUGGUUGUGCUCCCAACUUGUGCUGUAGUCAGUUUGGCUUCUGCGGCACCGGUGAUGCUUAUUGUGGCCAAGGAUGCCGGGAGGGACCUUGUACCUCAGCACCUAGUACCCCUAGCACGCCUAGUAACAAUGAUGUUACGGUGGCUGGUGUUGUUACACCGGAAUUCUUCAACGGUAUAAUCAAUCAAGCCGGGGGAGAUUGUGCCGGGAAGAGCUUCUACACACGAGAUGCGUUUCUCAGUGCCCUCAAUUCUUAUUCUCAGUUUGGCAAGAUUGGAUCAAAUGACGAUUCCAAACGUGAGAUUGCAGCAUUUUUUGCUCACGUCACGCAUGAGACCGGACGUAAGAUCUCUUAAAUCUCAUCUAUAUAUAUAUAUAUGUAUAUUGUCACACAUCACACCUUCAGUAAACAACAUAAUAAUAAUAAUAAUAAUAAUCAUAUGGCAGUUAAAAACUUUAUUAACAUGCAUACAAACUUGGAAAUGCUAUAGUUGUUUGAGAAUGAUCGUUAUGAUAUGAACACAAGCAUAACCAUACAUCUCAAAGUUAACAAAUGGAUGUGUUUUGCUUGGUUUACAGACUUCUGCUACAUAGAAGAAAUAAACGGUGCCUCUCAGGACUACUGUGAUGAGACCAAUACACAGUAUCCAUGCAACCCGAACAAGAAAUACUUUGGCCGUGGACCUCUUCAACUAACAUGGAAUUACAAUUACGGGGCGGCUGGAGGGGCAAACAACUUUGAUGGACUAAACUCUCCUGAAACUGUGGCCAAUGAUCCUGUUGUGUCGUUCAAGACUGCCUUAUGGUUUUGGAUGACUAAUGUCCGCCCUGUGGUCACUCAAGGGUUUGGUGCAACGAUUAGAGCCAUUAAUGGUGCAGUUGAAUGUAAUGGUGGAAAUUCUGGUGCUGUUCAAGCUCGAAUUGGGUAUUACACAGAUUAUUGUAACCAGUUUGGCGUUGCACCUGGCGACAAUCUAAGCUGUUAGGUUACAUUAUGCAUAUUAUAGUAUAGCAAAGAAAUGAAAUGGAAUCUACCUUCUGCCAUUUCUCGAAUGUAAGGUGGGAUACCCAGUGGUGUUCUGUAACUCUCGAUCGAGUUCGAUGUAUUUCUUGGAAUGGAUUUUACCAAUAAAUAAAUGAAAUAAAGGCAUCACAUAAUUGAUUUUGCUUAUCAUGUAUUUGCUGGCUUAAUUCGUUGUUAUGUUCAUUGCAAUUGCAAGUUUCUUGUUUAGUUUUUUUUUUUUAUUUAUAAUCUUUAAUCUUUAAUCACUAAUGAAAGUUUUGCUCUUGGGCAGAACCUCCUCAACCAUAAUUAAUUCCCCUCUGCCAUAAUCAUGUUUUGCGUUGUGAUCUCUAGCCAUAGUUGUUCAGCAACAUAUAUAUAUAUAUAAAAAAAAAAAAAACAAGGAACAAUAGGAUAUGACACCAACUAGCACAAUUUAAACUAAUUAGACUGGGAAUAAAAAAACAGGGGAAGAUAGAAUUCACCAAAAGGGCCAAACAAAGAACCCUAGCUGCAUUGUUAUUUUCAGAAUAAUAUUCUUCCACCAAAAUCUACAUCAUAAAAAUAUUUGCAAUAAUUUAAAUAACCUCAAUCAAAAUGGAAAAAAUAAUCCUACAUAGACAGAAAAAUUAAAAGCUAAAAUUUGAAAUAAAUAAAAACUAAAACUAAAAAAUUAACAUUUUUAAAAUUUAAUUUGAAAAUCUUUCUAACCUCAACUUAUUACAACGAGACAAUAUUCCACUAUAGAAUAUGCCUGCAGAAUCUUUUAAUGAAAUUUAAACAUGAUUCAAUAAUUAAAUAAAAAAUUAUGUUUAUUUUCAUUAAACAUAUUGUUUAGAGGAACUAAACUUUUUCUUGAGUUUGGAUUUUUUAUGCGAUCCAUAAAUAUAUAUCUGCUAGGUUUUUCAUAUACUCUAGUUACAACAAAUUUAUAUUUGAUUAUGAUUAUUAUUCUUGUAGAUUAAUAUUAGCAAUAACGAACAAUAUUUGUAUGGGAAAUUAAAUUCCUUAUAACUAACUUACCCAACUCUCAAGCCCUAGAUGUACAUGGUGUGGUAAAGGAUUUAAAAGAUAUGGUAUUAGUGUAUGGGAAAGAAAUUAAAAUAAAUUAAGAACUUGGCUCUGCCUCGGUGCUCAGUACCAUUUGAUUUCUAACAUCUAUGCUUCUAGAAAUUUUGAACUCAUAGUUUGUCCAAAGUUUUUUUUAGCAGCCUUCCUUGAUGAUCUAUAUGAAACGAACAAUGAAGUCAUUGAGAAGCCUACAACACUUAUGGCGCGUUGAGUGGAAGAAAUUAUCAAAGCCUACAACACUAAUGAAAUUUUAAUUAUUACAUAGGAAAACCCAAAGUUUACAACACGUUAUUCAAUGAACUGUAAUAUAAAUGGAUAUUUGCAAACAACAUUCUCUCUAUUAUUUUCUAACAUACCAAAGAAAAUUUACGAAGCCAACAUUAUCGAUCGCAUAAUCCAUUAUCUGUCGGAGUCUCGGUACUAGAGGGAUUUGAUUCCAAAUCACACAAGCCUAGUAACUUUACUAAUCAGCUCUCUUUUUAGGUUUCUUUCGAGUUUUUUAUUAGUAAUUCUUCUCCAAUUUGUCGUCUCAAGCUGGUUUUUACUGUCUAUUUGCUGAUCAAGUCAAAGAAAAGAACAUGCAAUUCCCCCUAUUUAUAGGUUAUGGAAGAAGGUAAUAUUUUCUUCACUUUGAGAAAAUUUUCAAUCCUUAAUUCGGAUGGAAAUGAUCACAACCGUUGACUUAAAAUAGGCAGCAUGAACUGUAUAAAUUUGACAGUUAGUGGCUGCUUGAGCUGGCCUCUUUAGGUUGGCACCGCGACCUCUAUGGUGUUAAUCAACCUAAACAGACCAUACCAGGGUGUAAAAGGAUGUCAGGUGAUCAUUUACAUGCAAGUUUUAGUGAAGGUUAGAUGCAUUAAAUGCACCUAUGAAGUUGUUUUUCUAAGCUAUCAUUUCAGUGAAAAUUAAAGAAGAAGAUGAACAAUAACCAAAACAGCGCCAUUUUGGUAACAUUCACUUUAGCCAUUUGAUUUCUAAUUUGUCUCAAUUACACCCUUGAUUGACUUCAAAUUUUUAAUUUUAUGUAAUCUCAUCCCUAGAAAAACCUCAAUGUCAGCCUCGGAUAUCGCAAUGACCGAUUAAAAAUAAUCUAAGAAAAGAAAAGAUAUCAAACAUCUUAAUCUGUGGGGAAAAGGUCUAGUUUAAGGAGUUACCACCUAGUAUUACAGUCAGACCAACCCUAACUGAUCAACAGAGAUUAUAUUGUACGGGACUGGUUACGCGAAAUGAGAGAUAUUAUCACCCCUUAAACGCCUUACUUAAAGCAAACUACAUUGUUGGUUUUGUUUUAAAUUGCUAAGAUUUCGUCUUUGUUCCAUUUUUAAGGUCAUCCUAUAAUAUUCUCAACUCUGACGUAAAUAGUUAUUCCCCUAUAAAUAUUUUCAAUUCUAGCGUUGGUAAAUAUUGUGCAAUCCAUAAAGUACGGUAAUCCUAACUAUGACGUUAGGGAAUGAGUCUGCAAAUUUUAAAUUUUAAAAAAGAAAGAAACAAUUUUUUUAUUUUUUUCUGGCCGGAUCUAGGUUAGCUAUACAGGUCGGGCUUGAUCCAGCUAGCAUGAGCUUGGUCACUGAAAUGCAACAAGCAUACGUCAAUUAUAAUUCACGUAUGCGUGUAUAGCAAGAAUGUAAUUAAAAUGACAAUGGUUAAGGGCCAAGAAUAAAAUUAAAAAUAAAAGAAUAAGAAUUAAAUUUGAAGUAUCAAUAACUAAAAUGACAACAUUGAAAUUCUAAAUGGCUGGUGCGAUUUUCGAGAGAAGAAGAGAGAGAAAAGAGAAAGAAAAAAAAAAACUCACCAACAACAAUUCAUCAUACCACCAUCACCACAUGCCACACCACAAAAAAUAAUAAGAUGUAAAGAUUUCAACAACAUAACGGAAGAGCUUUUUAACCACUGUGACGCAUUGUGCGUGCUAACAGAGGUUAUGGGCGCCUCCCACACGUUGGAGUAUGAAUUGUGUAUAUCAUCAACUUUUCUAUUUUAAUAUUAUUUAAUUUUUAUUAAAAUAUUAAAUUACCAUCAACCAAUUUGAUGAUAACAGAUAAAAAAAAAAACAUAGUAAAAAAACAUAAAAGCUUCUAUAUGCAAGCUUUAGAAAUUUUGCAAGUCUUUUUAUUGCUCUUAAAAUAGUGAAUUGAUGUGAAAGCCCUUAAAAGUUAGUUUCAAUAAUUUUGCUUUGAAGGGUAAAAAAAAUUAAAAAAGACAAGCGGUCAAUAUUAUAAUUAAUAAUAAAUCAUGUACGAAAAGAAAAAAAAAAUCCCCAAUGUAAAAGCCAUUGGUUUUUUUAAGAAGGGUAAAUAGAUAAUUAUACUAUAGCAUAGUAAAUUAUUUAUAUGACAUAGUAUCUUCACCUUUUGUUUUAGCUUUAUCUUGUUUUCUGUUAUAUUGCUAGACAUCUUUUAACCGCAGCUAAUAGUAUUCACAGCAACAAAUAUAACUAAAAGCAACCAAGUAAUCACUACAUAGAUCCUUAAUGUGUUAUUAAAUAUUAUAAGAGAUUUAAAUAAAAAAAAUAUAUAAAACGGUUCAUACACAAAAUUUAUAUGGUUUAAGAGCCACACUUUCUAAAAAAAUUAAUUUUUUUUCUUCAAAUUAAAUAAUACUAUUUGAGAGUAAUUGAGUUUAUCUACUGAAUUUAUCAUGCAAUCUGUUUGCAACGCGAAGCCCCAUGUAUCUCAAGCCCGUCAUAUUAUAUUCCAAAUGAAGGCCCAAAAACGAUGGGCCAUUAUGACGACAGCUGUUCAGCACUUUAUUUAGGCCCCCGUCUUUCAAAUGAAAUGCAAUUACAAUUUCAGGAUGUCUUAGCAACAAUUCCACGACGUCGCAUCCAAUGGUUCUCAGACGCAUGAAGCACAAGGCUAAGCUUCUGUCUUCAAGUGGAAGUCUACACAGCAUAUUGAAGAUGAAUGUGAGGUGGAAUCCCAAGGCUCACUGGACUCUGGAAUCAGACAAGGGAAUCUUCGUUGUUUAACAUCUUCAAAUUCUGUUGUUGAGGCAGAGGUGCACGGAACGUUGAAAACUGGGCAGGCAUUGGGUUUUGGAAUGUUGAGGACUUGCAGGUGCUGGCAACAUCCAUUAGAGGCCAUGUGGACAGAAAGAUGGAAGAUUGGAAUGACGACCAAUAAUGCCAUUUUGCAGCUCGACAGUGGAUGUGUAUUACCUUCUUUCUUAAUGAAGAUCUUAUUCUGGAAUAGUUGUGGAUUGGGUAUGUCUGCUAAGGGGGUAUCGAUUAGGAAUACUAUUCUGCAUAAUGACAUUGAGGUGUGUUUCCUGCUAGGAACUAAGAGGGCAAUGUGCUGUGACAAAUUUGUUCAUGCAUUAUAGAAUAACUUAUCAGUCAAAUGGUUUAAUUAGGCUGGAGGUAUUUUAGCUACGUGGGAUGAAAGGAAGUUCAUGGUUCAUUUAGCCAAUAUCAAACUAGAAUGUGAUGGUGAAGAUAUAAGGAUGUGUUUUGCCAAACACACACUUAUCAAAUAUGGACUAGGCAAGCUGGAUUUGAAGACCAGACUUGGCCGACACUUUUUUUCUUUUUUAUUGGACAAGAUCUAGCCCAGCCACGCACCCUGGGCUAAACCUAGUCAGUCAACCUGGUUAAUGGCUUAAGCCAGUGACCUAGCUGCAGGAAGGAGCAGGCUUACCUGCUUUGUGCAAUAUUUAAUUUUUUGCAAGCAUAAUAACAACAAGAAAAAUGACUUUGAAAAUUUCUUCUUCAAAUUCAAUUUUUUACCUCGUUUAUAAUCCAAGUGUAUUAAAAUGAGAGCUGGGGAAGAAAAAAGACUUACCUAGCUUGCAAAGACAUUGCACGAGAUUGUAAGUGCUAGGUGAAUUUGUAGUGUCAGAGGAAGAAGAAGAAGAAUUGUGCAUGGUUGAAACAGUGUCGUUUUGAACUGGGAAUAAACAAAUUUAAUUAUUUUAUAGUUUUGUAAAAAAAUUUUUUAAAAAUAUUUUUAAAUAAGCGCCGAUGAAAUUACAUACGGUAUUUUUUUGAGAAAAAUAUCGACGAAAUGAAGCGGGUAAUUUUUUUUGCGCUUUUUUCGUUAGUAAAUCCAUCGGUAAUAAUAUUUUUUAUUACCAACGGAUAAAAAAUUACAGAUAAAAAAUUCACCAAUAGAACAUUUUCAUCUGUGAUUCCAUCGAUAAAUUAAUUACUAAUAGAAUAAUAGUACAAACGCCGAUAAAAAAUUACAUCGGUAAAUAUAAAGAUUAUGAUAGUGUAUUAAAGGUUCACCAAGCACGGAGUUUAGAGUAGAACGUGACUAUGUCAAGCCAAGAAUCACUAUCGCCUUUUCUUUUUGACAUAGAUAUGAAGGGGUUAUCUCUUCUAUUUAUAAGAGCUUCCACUUCUGGAUUAUUUAAUUAAAGGAAUCCAUUAUGGAAAUGGGAUGCAUAUUGUUGAAUAAACUCAAUCCAGAAGCUCCCAGAUGGUCAAGGAAGGCAACCACCAGCUGCCACCGACCAGCCACCAACCAACCAGCCACCAGCCGCCAGCCACCAGCUGCCACAGCAGCCAGCCGCCUUCACACUUGAAGGUUGAAUUUUCUUGUUUUGAUUUCGUGUAUAAAUAGAGUGCCCAACCUCUGUUAAAUUGUGUGGAGAGAAUUGAGAGGAACACUAGAAAGAGAAAGAGAGAGAGAGGGCGUGUAAUUGUUAAGCUUUUGUUGUGUAAUUGUAAGCUUCGGUUUUUUGUAAUAAAACAGUGUGUUUUAUCCCCUCUGAGUGUUUCAAAGCCACCACCAGUGGUUCCUCCCACCAACAAUUGGUAUCAGAGCUCCGUUCGUCGGAAAACAGAAGAGUUUUGCGGUAUAUCCGAAUUUUCAAAAUUGUCAAAAACAAGUUUUGAUCAUUCCACAGUGUAGAGCUCAUCAAGACGAACUCACUGCCGCAAAAUCAGCCUCAUCGGAGUCGAGGUAGCCCACACGCGCCUGAAUAUCUGCCAGAUCGCCCACGCGCCCCGAGGUUGAAGACGACUGAGCCAACGCGCGCCAUUUUGAGCCGCGCCGCGCCGUUACGCCGAGUCCUAGCCAAGCCGCAAGCCGAGUCCAGCCGAGCCGAGCCGUCCAGCCCGAAAGAAUAUUCCCUGGAAUAUUCCCGAAUAUUCCCCAGAAUAUUCCCGGUUCAACCCAGCGAACCGCCCGCCAUACAGAAUUGGUUUUUUGACCGGUUCACCCAUUUUCUGACCUGAUUUCAACAAAGUCAGACCGGUUCCCAACUAUUUGGACUAUUCCAGAUCGAUAUACAGUGUCCGUUUGGUCAAAUUCGGCUCCCAGAAAGGUGAUAUAGUCAUUCAAAGAGCAAAAUGACUACAGAAGGUACACAUACACUCAUUCCAAAGCUGACCAAAGACAACUAUGAUAGUUGGUGCAUCAGAUUGAAGGCAUUUCUUGGGUCACAAGAGUGUUUGGAUAUUGUACAAACUAGUUAUGAUGAACCAGAGUCCAAAAAAAGAGAAGAUGCUUUACAAGAGGCACAGAAGCAAGCCCUCAAAGUCAACAGAAAGAAAGACAACAAGGCAAAGACCAUCAUCUAACAAGGUCUUGAUGAAGAUACAUUCGAGAUAAUAGCUUCCGCUGAAACAUCACAUGAUAUAUGGGAGGCUCUCCAACAGAAAUACAAAGGUGCUGACAGAAUCAAGAAGAUUCGUCUUCAAUCUUUGAGAGGAGAAUUGAUUAUUGCAAAUGAAGUCCUCAGAGUCUAUUUCUGAUUAUCACACAAGGAUUAUGGUGAUAGUCAACCAGAUGAGAAGAAAUGGAGAAGCCCUCAUCGAUUCUCGAAUUAUGAAAAAAAUUUUGAGAUCCCUAGAUCCAAAAUUCAAUUUUGUUGUUGUCGCAAUUGAAGAGUCCAAGGAAGUGGACAAGUUGACGGUUGAUGAGCUUAUGAGUUCGUUGCAAGCUCAUGAGCAGAAGAUAGUAAAGCGAAAUGAAGAUAAGGCCAUCGAGCAUGCCUUACAAGCAAAGCUGUCUCUCAAAGACAGAUAUGAGCAAGGGGAGACUUCAUCAAGUGGCUACACCACUCAAGGAGGAAGUCAACAAUCCAGAGGAAGAUUCCAGAGAUUCCAAGGAAGAGGUUCUUGGAAUACAAUCUUUAGAGGAAGAGGUGGCAGAAACACCACCAGAGGAGGCUGAGGCCAACAAGCAUUCACUCCUAGAGGAAGAGGAGGCGGUUACAAUAACCGUGACAAGAGAAAUAUCAAAUGUUAUAGUUGCAAUCAAUUUGGGCACUAUAGCACUGAAUGCCGAUGGAAAGCUCCGUUGGAGAUACGUGAGCAUGCCAACUAUGCAGAGAAGGAUGACAGAGAAGCAUCUGCAUUUCUUGUCCAACAAGAACUUGGCGAGAAACAGGAAAAUAUAUGGUAUCUAGAUACUGGAGCCAGCAAUCACAUGUGCGGCUACCGAGAGUUAUUUGGUGAUCUAGAUGAGACCAAGCAAGGUCUAGUUACUUUUGGAGAUACCACAAAGGUUCCAUUCAAAGGUAAAGGCAGCAUCCCAGUCAAGUUGAAGAAUGGCGAUUCCAGCUACAUCGCCGAUGUGUAUUAUGUCCCAGCCAUAAAGCAGAACCUGAUCAGCUUAGGUCAACUUUUGGAGAGAGGAUAUAGUUUUUACUCGAAGAAUUGUCAUCUGACAAUUAGAGACAACAAUGGGAGAUUAAUGGCCUACGUGAAAAUGUCCAAGAAUAGGAUGUUUCCUUUGAACAUCCAGUAUGAUGCAACAAGGUGUUUGAGUGCCAUCACCAACAGUGAAGAAUGGCUUUGGCACCUGAGGCUUGGACAUCUGAAUUUCACGAGUUGAAGAUGCUAGCAAGCAAGAAGAUGGUCAAAGGUUUGCCUCACAUUGAUCAUCCAGAUGAAGUCUGUGAAAGUUGUGUCCUCAGCAAACAUCACAGAUCCAGUUUUGCCAAAGAAGUCAACUGGAGAGCAAAGAGGCCACUGGAGUUAGUACACACAGAUGUGUGUGGCCUAAUUACGCCUAUGUCGACUGGACAAAAUAGGUACUUCCUCACUUUUACUGAUGAUUUUAGUAGAAAGACGUGGAUAUACUUUCUGAAGAGGAAGUCAGAAGUAUUCAAUUGUUUUAAAGAUUUUAAAGCAAUUGUGGAGAAGCAAACUGGUUACACGAUCAGAACCGUAAGAUCUGAUCAAGGUGGAGAAUAUACAGCAAAUGACUUUGAAGCCUAUUGUACACAACAAGGCAUCAGACAUCAACGACACCAGCUUAUACACCACAGCUGAAUGGUGUAGCAGAAAGGAAGAAUCGCACGAUUCUUGACAUGGCAGAAGUCUGCUCAAAGCAAAGAAGUUGCCCAAGCAAUACUGGGCUGAAGCUGUAUCAUGUGCAGUGUAUCUGUUGAAUCGCUGCCCAACCAGAAGUUUGCAAGGAGUCACUCCAGAAGAAGCAUGGAGUGGUCACAAACCAAGUGUUACUCAUCUACGAGUCUUUGGUUGUGUGGCAUAUGCAAAGAUCCCAGAUGCAAGAAGGAGAAAGCUCGAUGAUAAGAGCGAGAAAUGCAUCUUUGUCGGAUAUGGUGAAAGAAGGAUGGGAUACAGGCUGUAUAAUCCCAUCACGAAGAAGGUGAUUACGAGUAGAGAUGUUAUCUUUGAAGAAGAUAAAUCUUGGGCAUGGAAUGAUGAUCAAGAAGCAGUCAGAUGGAUCAACACUGAUUUGAUCCUUGAAGGUGAAGAAGUACCAACAGUACUUGUAGAAGAACCGAUUGUGCCAGCAGCUGAACCACAAAGUCCAGUAUUUAUACCAGCAGCUAAACCACAAAGUCCGGUACACAGAUUCCCUGUAUUCAACAGGAGGAACACACCAGGAGCAUCAUCAUCAACACCACCAUCAGCAUCCUCAUCAGAAAGACCAAGAAGGAUACGGAAUCUUGAAGAGUUGUACGAUACCACUCAGGUCAUGAAAGAUACAACUCUGUUUUGUUUUCAUGCAGAUAGUGACCCAUUAAGCUUCAAUAAAGCUGUCACAGAAAAGAAAUGGAUUAAAGCAAUGGAUGAAGAAAUACAUGCCAUUGAGAAGAAAGAUACCUGGAAGCUGACUUAUCCACCAGAAAAGAAGAAAGCAAUAGGUGUCAAAUGGGUCUACAAGACGAAAGCCAAAUUAGUGGAUAAAGCCUAUAAGCAGAGAGAAGGCAUUGAAAGGAGAAGUGUUCAUGCUUGUCAUGACAUCCCUCGAUUGAGUUUAAAGGGGAGAUUUGUUGAAUAAACUCAAUCCAGAAGCUCCCAGAUGGUCAAGGAAGGCAACCACCAGCUGCCACCGACCAGCCACCAACCGACCAACCACCAACCGCAGCCACCAGCUGCCACAGCCGCCAGCCGCCUUCACACUUGAAGGUUGAAUUUUCUUGUUUUGAUUUCAUGUAUAAAUAGAGUGCCCAGCCUCUGUUAAAUUGUGUGGAGAGAAUUGAGAGGAACACUAGAAAGAGAAAGAGAGAGAGAGGGCGUGUAAUUGUUAAGCUUUUGUUGUGUAAUUGUAAGCUUCGGUUUUUUGUAAUAAAACAGUGUGUUUUAUCCCCUCUGAGUAUUUCAAAGCCACCACCAGUGGUUCCUCCCACCAACACAUAUGAGUUAUUUGCAGAUGAUAAUUUUAGUGUUAUUCCUAAUCAUUUUUUUUGAUAAUUAAUGCUAAACGAUUUUGAGGUGGUUUGAAUUGAGAUCUAAAGGUUAAUUUUUUUUAAAUAUUCACUAGUUGACAUCAACCUAGAUGAUGAAUUUACAGUAGGAAUAACAAAUGUGAUAAAUAGUGUCGCACCCAAAAACUUUCAACGCGCGGCAUCGGCUGGCGAUUUAAAUCUCGUUUAUUGCGUUUGCUUGAAUUUGGUUCGUUGGAGUCGCCACCUAGUAAUUGAUUUCGGGCUACUAGGAAACCGGAUGUACUGGUCUUGUCAGAGAUUCGCGGGUAAGGGACUGGUUGUGGUUAGGGAAGGUAUUAGCACCUCUAACGCACCUACCUGAGGUAAGCUGCUUCGUGGCUUUGACGUGUUAAAGAAGUUUUAAUAAUUGUCUUUUUUCUUCGGAUUAGAAAUAUCACUUACGUAUAAGUUAAUAAUUCUUAACCGUGAUCCGAUCAAAUAUAAAUUCUUCUUUAAUAUAUUUGCAAUUUUAUCAUUAAAAAUAUGUACAAAUAAAUAAAACAAAAUACAAGCACACACAUACACUUUUAUUUUAUUUUUGUUUCUUUUCUUUUCGUUUUCUUUUCUUUUCUUUUACAUCCAUAUUUACAAAAUACAAAUUACAAAACAAAAAAAAAAUCAAAACUAAACAAAUUACAUUAAAAACACAUUAAAAUUACAAAACAAUCCCUAAAAUUCAGGAAAAACAACUCUGGGAAACAACUCAAGCCCGAAUGAACAGUAGCGGCGCGUCUUCCCACGCGCCGCCACUGGAAAACAUGGCAAACCAGGGGUGUAUGGAGCGCCUUCCUCCCCCGUUCAUUUUUCUGCCGGCGGUGAGGAUCCGGUCACCUGCAAACACAAGAGAAAUACACAAAGAGCAGUCGGUUUUAGUUUUUUAGAUCUGUUUUUAAUUUUCUUCUGCCCGUUUCGGAUCUGCUCAAUUCGUUCUCUUUCUGGUGGUUAUUCCUUCGUUCUUCAGAUGGCGGAGUGCUGGGUGGCUCGCCGGCGCGUGCUGCGGCUGAAGAGGGGAUCGUGGAUCUACCACCGGUUUGAAGGAGAUGAUGAGAGUGUUGGCCCGCGCGGGAUCUGUUCGGCCAUCGCUGCUGUUGCUACCCAAUUUUUGACCCAUGUUUUUUUAUAUAUUUUCAAAAAAUCCAAAAAAAACAUUAAGAAAAAUUUGAAAAUUUAAAAAUAUUUUUUUCUCUCUCGAGUCAACCGCAUCUCUUCACUCAAACCAUGUCGACCAGGGUAAAAAAUGAGUUUCGGGCUGUUUCGGGUGAAAAACAUCAUUUUCAACCAAAAUCGGGUUCACCGGGUCAAUACGGGUCAUACCAUGUUGACCAGGGUAAAAAAUGAGUUUCGGGUCAAAAAUAUCAUUUUCGACCAAAACCGAGUUCACCGGGUCAAUACGGGUCAUACCAUGUCGACCAGGGUAAAAAAUGAGUUUCGGGUUGUCUUGGGUCAAAACCGUCAUUUUCGACCAAAACCCGGUUCAUCGGGUCGAUACCCAUCAAAUGUUUUUUUUGGUAUUUCAUUUUUUGGCGGUUGAAACGAGAUUUUUCUAAUACUGAUUUGAAUUUUUAGUUUUACCCAUGUAAAUAUUUAUUAUUAUAUAUAAUAAAACAAAAUUAUGGUAGUUGUGUGCAAUAUUUAUUAUUAUAUAUAAUAAAACAAAAUUAUGGUAGUUGUGUGCAAUAUUUAUUAUUAUAUAUAAUAAAACAAAAUUAUGGUAGUUGUGUGCAUUAUUUCUUAUUAUAUAUAAUAAAAUAGAAUUUAAUGGUUGUUGUCCCGUGGCUAUAAAUAGCCACGAGAGGGGGGCAGAAUAAAAGAGAGAAAAAAAAGAGAGGAAGAGAAAAGAAAAAGAAAAGAAAGAAUCGAUUGAUACUAUUCCUAAUUUUUUUAGUUUUUCUUCAGGAGAGUAGGAUAUUGUCUUUUAAAAAAAACAAUUUAAAAAAUACCAAACAUAUCCCAACACAUCUCAGCCGUUAAUAUAUUCCAGGAUUUAAUCCUGUUGCGCCACGUCAUCCGGUGCACCGAGCUUUCGGUGCACCGCGCCACACAAAAUCAAAAACCAGACAAUCUGGGCCGUCCGAUCAACCUGCUGAUCUAGCCAAUCCCAGCCAUCCGAUCGUUUCAUCCAAGAUCCAACGGUUAACAUCCUUCAGCGGCACCGGUACACCAUACACGCGUCCGCACCGUAGCAAAUCUCGGAGCAUCUCUCUCCUCUCGCCGGCGACUCUCUCUCUCUCCUCAGAUCUCCACUUUCCGGCCAUAUAAAGUCUCCGAACCACCACAGAAAGGUUCCUCACAUGCCGUAAAGUAAAACCCCGGUGGUUUUCAUCGUUUUCACCGCCUCAUCUGGCCGGAAAAAGGCCGCGAUCGUCGCCGGCCACCGAAGCUUCAAGUCGUCGAUUCUCCCUCGUCAGCCAUCAACGGCCGUCGAGACCACCACCAACAGAAUCCUUGACCUCAGAUCUACCAGAACCGACCAUCGGUGGGCCAGAAAUCUCGCCGGAAAAUUUCGCCAUCGUCAACAGUGACAGCGCGUGAGACACACGCGCCGCCAGUGGCAUUUUCGUAAUUUUUCAAGAAAUCCGAGGGUAUUUCAGUCUUUUACCUAUACUGUGUCACUCAUGUAAUUUUUUUUUUGAUUGCUAAUUUUUUUUUAUUUUGUAUAUAAAUUUUCUUGCAUGUUGUAAAACAAAAAAUAAACACAAAAAAAGAAUAACAACGCGGGUCCAACACCCAUCCUAUUAUGUCAUCAUUCGUGGGUCCAAAGCCCAAUUUUUAAAUAUAGUUAUAGCCAUAUCUCAACGAUAUUAAAAUAUUUGUUUUUAUAAACAAAUAUUGUUUGUCGACACGUCUCUUUUUAUAAAAAGGACCGAUGUCAAAUAAAAAAGUUUAAAUACCAAACAAAUAUGGAUUAUGUCCAUAAUUUUGUUUUUUGGUAACUCAGACGUACUUCUCCUUUUUAGGGUUAAACGUCAAUAUUUUAGACAAGUCUCCUAUUUUUAGGGACUGAUGUCAUUUUUAACGUGUCUCCUAUUUUUUUUAGGGACCGACGUUAACCAUAAAAAAAAUAAUAAAAUUGCAAAUAAACUCAAAAUAUAAUAUCAUUUGAAACAAAUAAAAAAACACACAAGUAAGGGUAACCUUUCUUUUGAAAGGAUGUUUUAAGGGUGGUGUCUACCUUCCCUUAAUCAUAACUAACCCAGUACCCGAAUCUCUGGGACCAGUGUCUAAUUUGGGAUUUCUAGUUCCCUCAAAUUACUAGAUGGCGACUCCAAUAAAUUUUUCAUUUCCCCCAAUUAAACAAAUCUUUUUUGUUAAAUAAACAAAAAUGAGCGGAGCCGUCGCCCGACGUCGUGUAUCGACAGUUGCUGUGGAAGGAAAUCGACGGAGGAGCAGCCGUGGCUGAGGAGAUCGCCUACAGAUCGGUGGCUUGGUGGUCUGUCGGUGUCCGGAGGGAAGUCCUUGGUCGCUGCCUAGAGGCCGAAUGGAGAGGAGAGUGAACAGCGGUUGAUGGCUCCGGGUGAGGCUGGUUCGGUGGUGCUGCCCGUUGCAAGUGAGAGGGUGAGGUUUUUUUGGCUUGGGAAAUUGCCGGCUAUGGAGAUGGAAAUGAGGGGGGAACGAAGUGGCUGGGUCCGAAAAAAUCAAAGCCAAGGGGAAAGAGCUGAUGAGCGGGGGAAGCGACCGAGGAAGAAUGAAAAAAAUUCGAAGGGCUGGGGGACGGCGGCGUUUCUUUUUUUUGUGCAGGGAGAGGGGAAGGUCUCGGUGACCGGUUUCUGGUUAAGGUGAAAAAUAUGGGGGAACAGCGUGGGUAGAAGCUGAGGGAAGGGCUGUUUGGCUUUGGUUUGUGGCCGGCGGCUGUAAAAAAAAAAAAUAAUAACCAGGGGGAAAGGGGGGCUGCAGGCUUGGUAGAGAUAGGUUUAGGGUUAGGUUAUUUUUUGUAUUUUCUGAUAUUUCAAAAUUGCCCCCCUCCUUUGUGUGAGUUAAAGACCAGUAUUUAUAGGCAAAAAUGUUGCCAAGUUUUUCAACUUGGUCCCUCAACUUCUUUCUUUUUGUAAAUUUUGAUUUUUCUUAUUUUUUUGUAUUUUUUGAAAACAAGAAAUAUCAACGUCGACUCAAAUGCGGAAAAUCAAUGAUUUUAAAAAUGACGCGUGAAAAAUCGAACGCGUUUGAAAAUAUUUUAACAAUUUAAAUUCUUUUUUAGACGACGUUGAAAAUACUAAAAUGACGAAAAUAUAUUAAAAAACAUAUUUUUUGGAUUUUCUUUGUUUUUCUCAAUUUUUUGGAUUUUUGAAAAUAUAUCAAAACAUGGGUCAAAAAUUGGGUAGCAACAGAUGCCCCCUCUUUACAAUGCUUACGAAGCAAAACUCCUCAAAAUUUUGCAUAGUAAGCUUUGUACAGAAAACAAAAGGAAAAUAAUUUUAUUAUCUUGGGCAACCUGACUACACAUACUCACUCUAGUCUAUUUUCACGGGCGACCGACCCACACUCUCCCAAUAGUCUAUUUUCACGGGCGACCUGCCCACACAUUGGGUUUACCUGAGAUCCCAUCUGGCGACCUCAUUCAACUGGAACGAAAAUAUUGUGUAACUCGGUUAACCUGAAAUCCCAUCUGGCGAUUCCCUUUAACCAAAGCUACCCGAGAUCCCAUCUGGCGACCUCAUUUAACCAAAACAAAAGAAUGUGAAAAAUGGUCUCAUUGUAUGGGUGACAAACCCAAGAAAAAAAUGAUGGUCUCAUUGUAUGGGUGACGAACCCCAGAAAAAUGUUGGUCUCAUUGUAUGGGUGACGAACCCCAGAAAUAUGAUGGUCUCAUUGUAUGGGUGACGAACCCCAGAAAUAUGAUGGUCUCAUUGUAUGGGUGACGAACCCCAGAAAAAUGAUGGUCUCAUUGUAUGGGUGACGAACCCAGGAAAAAUGAUGGUCUCAUUGUAUGGGUGACGAACCCAGAUGGAAAAAAAUGUGAAGUGUGGUCGCAUUGUAAUGGGUGACCUACCCACGUGGAAAAAAUAUGAAGUGUGGUCUCAUUGUAAUGGGUGACCUACCCAGAUAAAAAAGAAUAUGAAGUGCGGUCUCAUUGUAAUGGGUGACCUACCCAAAAAUGGAAAAAUAUGAAGUGUGGUCUCAUUGUAAUGGGUGACCUACCCAGAUGGAAAAAAUAUGAUGAAGUGGUCUCGUUGUGAUGGGCGACCUACCCAGAUAGAAAGAAUGUGAAGUGCGGUCUCAUUGUAAUGGGUGACCUACCCAGAUGGAAAAAAUAUGAUGAACGGUCUUAUUAUGAUGGGCGACCUACCCAGAUGGAAAAAAUGUGAUAUGACAAGUGUGAAAAAUAGGACUUACCUGGCGAAAUCCUGAGGGGAUGACAGAAGAAGGGCUGGAAAACUUGGUGCUUCCUGAUAAUUCCCGAUCAUAGGGUUUGAAAACUCGGUGUUUCCUGACUGCAAGGGUUGAAAACUCGAGGCUUCCCGAUUGCAAGGUUGAUCUUUCCAUUUCUUUGGGAUUUUCCUAAUGGUAGGGUUCAUCCCAUCGUCCUUUUAUUCGAUGAUCAAAACCGAUUCUUUAUUAUCAUCACCACAAUGCUUCUUUCUCUUUCCACCAUCUUGCUGGACCUCAUUAAGGAUUUUCCUGUAACAAUUCAAAAAUAUGUGCAAAUGGUUUUUUUUUUUUUUUUUUUUUUUUUUUUGAGGUUAGAUGAUAUACAUGCAUCCUUACCUGUUUUGAAAUAAUAGGUCCCCCCUCUUUGAUGCUCCAUCGUCAUAGGGUGCCCUUAUUUGUAUCCCAAAGCUUUCUUUGUUCUUCCGAUGUAUUGGCUCAUUCAUGUGUUAGUCAUCCACUCAGCUGUAAAUGCAGUGCCCAUCCCGGGCUGUCUUCGACAAUUACUGCUUGCAUCGUUCAUGAAGCUUGACCCUCCCCCCAAGUGUAGUACUGCUUGAUUCAUCAUGAGCGAUUUUCUCUCCUGGCUUCUUCUGAGAAAUUAUCCUCUGAUUGAUUGUGUGCAUCAUGCCAACACCCAUCACGUUUGUUAAUCAGUCAUGAACUUGCCUUCGGUUGAAACACCAUUCAAGUAUGUAUGGUCACCAGCCUUCAUGGAACUGCCAAGUCAUCUAGACAUGUAUCUCAUACUUUGCAGUAAACAACUCAUCAUUGUAAGCGCGAUGUAUUUCUCUAUGGAUUCCUCUUAGCUUGUCAAAUCAGAUCAUGAAAAUACUUGCUUUGGCAUCAUUAAUGAUGUUCAUGUUAUCACCCAUAUUCAUGCGGUGAAGUGCGCAUUUGAGCUUCAGAAUAGAUGGUCCCAUAGUCAGUCUUGGUGGUGCAUCCUCCUUUCAGCCUUCAUGCACAUGCAACUGUGUGAUAACAUCGUUCAAAAGUCAUAACCAUGUUGAAGAUGAUAAACCAAGAUGAAGACAUGAAAAUAUCCUUCUAGUGCAUCGUUUCUCAUCAAUUGCUGCUGAAGUUCACUAAAUCAUGGAUUGUCUUUGAACAACAUUGCCCCUAGUUGAUCUGAACAUGCUCAUUCUUUUGUUUACAACCAAAUGGCUUUUGUGAAUGUCAGGAAGGACUUUGAUGGACUUUGAUGAUUCAUCAUGUGAUUCUUUCUUUGCCCCCAGCUGAUCUGGAUACUGUUUGCUUUCCCUCUUAAGGUCCACUGUAUUGCCCCCAGGUGGUCAACGUUUCAAAGAGUGUCGAGAAAUGUUGAUGUCAUUUUUUGUCAAGAAUUUUGCAAACUCAAUUGAUGUUCUUGUUUGAAAAUCUUUCUUGUUCUGGAAUCAAAUCUCAACAUUUCAACGAUCAUGUCUAUUCAAGUAUAAUUGUUGAAAUGAAAUCAAAGAGAUAUCAGUUUUUGAAAAGUUAUUUUUGAAAUUCGAGCUCCUUUGGUCAAAGACCCAACACACUAUUCACUGCAGUCCUUUGAUUGUCUUGUAUUUUGAAAACAGAAAUGACCCGUUGUAAGAUUAAAAUGACUUUUUCAUGGUUCUGUCCACUUUAAACUCUGAUUUUGGGUAUAUCUUUUGAUGGUAUGGUGAGGUGAUAUUUUUGUGAAUUUCAAAACAAGAUGCUCAGGCUUGAUAAAGAAAGGUUGUUUCUCUUCUAGUAUUUAUUUUAUCAGCAUGCAUAAUAACCAGUAGCUUAAUUCAUGAAGUCACGACCCUUAUAAAAACUCUUCAAGUUUUGAGAGCGCCAUUUAUGGUUCAAAUUGCUUGCUUGAUUAAAAAGGGCUUUUAAAAGCACGUAAUGCAGGCUAUGGUUCAUGGCUAUGAAAGAAAGGAAUUUCAAAGGCUCAAAAGGUGUUUGAGGGUUUCAAAGACCUAGGAUCAACAUCAACUAUUCAUCAACUCUUUCUAUUGUUGUCUUUGUAGGAAACGACAUAUAACCUUGUUAACCUCAAAGUUCAGAUUUCUUAACAUAGGUCAUAAUGCAAAUCCAACCUUUCCUUGAUGACUAACCAACCUUAAUCAUCUGAUAACAUCAAGAGCUUUAUAAUGGAUACCAAAAUUCAACGCUUAUAGCUUAGUCUUUUUCUGGUAUUGACUUUUGUUGUGCCUUUCCUUGAUUGAAAUUUCUUUUGCUCUUCAUAAACUUGAUAGGCGUUCUCCUUCCUUUAUCUUUGACUUGUAUUUAAGUGAAGGCAAUUUCAACUUCCUUUUUUUCAUUCUCUUUUUUUUUUCAUAGCCUUCCUCAAAAUUUUCUUAUAUGCCCCCAGUCUAUGUGUUUUCUUUUAGCUCUCUCUCAAUCAUUGGACCUUUGUUAUAAGCCUUCCCCUUUAUCCAUUAAUUAUAUCAAUGUCUCCAAAAUAUCUCUCAUUUGCCCCUAGUGUGGGGUGUGAUCCUAGUCAGGGUUUCUUUUUGAAAGAAAAUAUUUUACCAGGCUCAAAAUGGGACUGCAAGGGAUAUAAUCUUUAGAAAGUGAAGGGAUAUCAAAGAUGGCCUUUUCUCAUUUCAAGCAAGGUCGGUUAAACCGAUAAAUUUUGACCUCAUCCAGUGUAAUGAUUGGACUUGUAAGAGUCAUGAUUCACGAGUCCAUAACUAUUGAAUCCACUACAUGUCAUUAUGCAUACUGCUAAAACUUAGCUAUAUGAUGUGUGGUUCAGUUUCAAAAGGUAUGAGUUCAAAAUUGUUUGGUCACCUCAUGUCAUUUUCAAGCAUAGAGUCAUUUCUGUAAUCAAAACACUUUUAAUCUUCCGGAUUGAUUAACCUUUAUCGCAUGUUGGAGUUUGAUCAAAAUAUUUUGUCAGAAUAAAAUGUUAAACAUCUGUUGAUUUCAAAACAACAAAGAGACAAAAGCAAGGCAUGUUUCGUUGAAGGAUGAGAUGUGAUCCCAAAACAAAAUGCAGAAUUCCAAAACAAUAUGAUUGACUGUUCAUCACCAUUCUUGAAUCAGCUUUUCUGGCAAUAUCUGUGUUUUGCCAAGCAUUUUCGAUCACAUGUUUCUGAAGAUGUUCGGGGAACAAUAUAGCCAAUGACACCCUCUUCAACGACUCCACUUGUCUCUUGCUCACCAACUUUCAGACUCUUCUUGCAAUUCUUGAAACUGUUCACUUGAAAUGGUUGAGGACCCCACCAUGACAUCACAUCUCUUUCUGGAUUAACCACCUAGAAAUUGGUGGUUGCAUGGGAUUUGUCGGAGUCAAGCAAAAUUCUGGAAUCUGGCAGAUGCUGGUCGACAAACUUAAGUGGCAGAGGAAUGUCCCAUCUUGGCAAAGACAUUUGAGCAAUUGAUGCUACCGUGAGACCUGGCUAUACCACAUAAUUAAGGGUUCACACCGUCAAAGUCAUCUCCUGAUUCAUCUCAUCAUUGUUCUGGAAUCCAUGGCAGAUCCUUCAAUCUUUCUCUUCAUAGCUUGUUCAAUUUUCGGCAAAUCCUCACAACUUAUUUCAAUCUUCCAAUGUUGUGUUGGUUGAGGAUUGUUAGAAAACUUUCUAACAGCUUGGUAAUCUUGGCAGCGCCCAGAAACUUGUAGUAUCGCCACUACCGUGUGGAAUCACACAUUGUCUCUAUUGGAAGAGCACCUGAUGAAUCUAAAACUCCUUUGUCCCCUCUUCGAUUUCUCACUGACAGUGCAGCAAACAAACACCUAUAGAGGAAGUCCUGCUCUGUUGAAGUUUCAGUAUUCUUCAUGUUUUUCAGUCUAGGCAUGUCUCUUCUCUCUACUUUUGCUUUUAAUACUGACACUGUUGGAGGAAAAUCAUAGAUGAUCUGAAACUACUGUAUUCCUUCUUGGAUUUCCCACUUGCGGAUCCACAAACAGAUUCCUGCGAGAGAGCUCUACGUUGAAGUUUGAUGUCUGCUCGUAUUUUUCAGACCAGGUCUGGCUCUUCAACCUACUAAGAUGUCUUCGUGCUGAAACUGAUGAGAGAAAUAUUUGUAGCAUAUGCAACUUAUAAAUCCCCUCUUGCAUUCCCAAUUUGCAGAGCCAUAAAUGGAUUUUAUAGAGGAGCUCUGCCACAUUGAAGUUCAGUGUUAAUCAUGGUUUUUCAGACCAUCUUGUGCUGCUGAACUGGAAUUGAGCUCAUAAUGGGGUAACUUCAAAGCAGACUAAUGCACCAUGUACAUGAGGCUAGUGGUCGUUUGGUUCCAUUAGAUGAUGUGGAGGCGAUGAACACUUAACAGUGCAACUGGACAAGAAUCAGAGUUGUCAUUAGUUGAUGACUGAAGGCAUUGUUGUUUUGUUCAUGACGGAAAAGGAGAGAUACACUUCAAUUGGAUGAACAAGCAGUGUUCCCACAGAAACUGUGCAGACACUCUCUUUCCAUUUGAUGCUCAACACUUGUUCGAGCAGAUCUGAGUCGCUACUUCACCUUGAUGCUCUCAACCUAUAUCUGAGCCUCUUUGUUCACUUCCAUUCAUUUUUCUUCAAUCGUGCAGCACAGCUUGUAUGGGGACCUACUUUCACCCGGUACAUGCAUGAUAAAUGUAUGAACAUGUAAUCUAUAUGAUGAACUCACCCUUCGAGAGGUGACAAUAUGGUCGUAACUCUUGUAUGAUGGACAAGAAUCGUGAUUUUUGCCCAAACUCUACAAUGAAAAUUUUCGGAGCAACGGCCAAUGUGUCACCCACAAGUCUUGAGUUCAAGAUGCUUCAAGAAGGGUUUGCCCUUAUGCAAAAAACGAUAGCACAUACAACCUAAGGACAGGUUCUAUUCAUUAUGUGAACAUGGGUAGGUUUUCUAUCUGGUCUCAAAAGGGUCUCAUAUCUGCCCAGUGACGUUCUUCGUAAAGACAGUAUGGGGGCGUUGCAAGGAAUGGUUAAGGCACGUAUACCCACCAUUACCAAGCAGGCACUCAGAUAUGAGUUGGGUGUUUCACGCAUCUGAACCCUGACCAAUAGUCUUAGGGCAGAUCGCUAGUUCCCCACCUAACCUAGAAGCUUGUGUGUGCUUUCAAAAAUAAAUACAGGUGAUGCAUGAGACAAUUCUAUAAAAUGCAUGGAAAUAAAUAUUAACAAAAAAGAUAAAAAUGCAAAAACUUAAACACAUCAAAUACACAAAGCUUAGUCCAAAUCGAAAAAUACCUUCCCAGUGGAGUCGCCAUUCUGUCGCACCCCAAAAAAAUCAGCGCGCGGCAUCGGCUGGCGAUUUAAUCUCGUUUUUGCGUUUGCUUGAAUUUGGUUCGUUGGAGUCGCCACCUAGUAAUUGAUUUCGGGCUACUAGGAAACCGGAUGUACUGGUCUUGUCAGAGAUUCGCGGGUAAGGGACUGGUUGUGGUUAGGGAAGGUAUUAGCACCCCUAACGCACCCUACCUGAGGUAAGCUGCUUCGUGGCUUUGACGUGUUAAAGAAGUUUUAAUAAUUGUCUUUUCUUCAGAAAUUAGAAAUAUCACUUACGUAUAAGUUAAUAAUUCUUAACCGUGAUCCGAUCAAAAUAUUAAAUUCUUCUUUAAUAUAUUUGCAAUUUUAUCAUUAAAAAAUAUGUACAAAUAAAUAAAACAAAAAUACAAGCACACACAUACACUUUCACUAUUUUAUUUUUGUUUCUUUUCUUUUCUUUUUCUUUUCUUUUCUUUUACAUCCAUAUUUACAAAAUACAAAUUACAAAAACAAAAAAAAAAAUCAAAACUAAACAAAUUACAUUAAAAACACAUUAAAAUUACAAAACAAUCCCUAAAAUUCAGGAAAAACAACUCUGGGAAACAACUCAAGCCCGAAUGAACAGUAGCGGCGCGUCUUCCCACGCGCCACCGCUACUGGCGGCGCGUGGGUUCACGCGCCGCCACUGGAAAACAUGGCAAACCAGGGGUGUAUGGAGCGCCUUCCUCCCCCGUUCAUUUUUAUGCCGGCGGUGAGGAUCCGGUCACCUACAAACACAAGAGAAAUACACAAAGAGCAGUCGGUUUUAGUUUUUUAGAUCUGUUUUUAAUUUUCUUCUGCCCGUUUCGGAUCUGCUCAAUUCGUUCUCUUUCUGGUGGUUAUUCCUUCGUUCUUCAGAUGGCGGAGUGCUGGGUGGCUCGCCGGGCGUGCUGCGGCUGAAGAGGGGAUCGUGGAUCUACCACCGGUUGAAGGAGAUGAUGAGAGUGUUGGCCCCGCGCGGGAUCUGUUCGGCCAUCGCUGCUGUGGAAGGAAAUCGACGGAGGAGCAGCCGUGGCUGAGGAGAUCGCCUACAGAUCGGUGGCUUGGUGGUCUGUCGGUGUCCGGAGGGAAGUCCUUGGUCGCUGCCUAGAGGCCGAAUGGAGAGGAGAGUGAACAGCGGUUGAUGGCUCCGGGUGAGGCUGGUUCGGUGGUGCUGCCCGUUGCAAGUGAGAGGGUGAAGUUUUUUUGGCUUUGGAAAUUGCCGGCUAUGGAUGUUGCUACCCAAUUUUUGACCCAUGUUUUUGAUAUAUUUUCAAAAAAUCCAAAAAUAGAGAAAAACAAAGAAAAUCCAAAAAAUAUAUGUUUUUAAUAUAUUUUCGUCAUUUUAGCAUUUUCAACGUCGUUUAAAAUUUUUAAGGGUCUUUCGAAUGCGUUCGACUUUUCACGCGUCAUUUUCAAAAUAAUUGAUUUUCCGUAUUUGAGUCGACGUUGAUAUUGCUUGUUUUCAAAAAAAAAUACAAAAAAAACAAGAAAAAUCAAAUUUUACAAAAAAAGAAAGUUAAGGGACCAAUAUUGAAAACUUGUCAAUAUUUUUUGCCUAUAAAUACUGGUGUCCAACACUUGCAAAGGGGGGGCUAAUUUUGCAAUUAAAGAAGACAACCAAAAAACCCUAAGGGCUGAACAUUUUUUUCAUCUCCUGCACCCUAGGCAGCCGCCCCCCCUCCCCUGGAUUUUCUUCUCUGCGCCCUCAACUGCACAGCCGGCUCCCUCUUUUCCUUUCCUUUCCCCCUGCCCAGCACCAGCUCCCACAGCACCGUUUCCCUCCAGCUUCUUCACCCAAAACCAUCCUUCCAUCUCCAGUUUUCUGCUCACACAAGACAGCCCCUCACCUCCUCUCUCUUACUCCGAUCUUCACUCAUCAACUGGCCAUAGACCAACAACAGCCACGAAUUAGCUCCCCCUUCCACAGAUCCUCUCUCAGCUGCUCCCUUCUCCAGCCGCAGCGGCGCCUUCUUCAUCCGGCAGCACCCAGCAGAGCCUUCCUUCUCCAGCUCCUCCCUCAUAAAUCGCCCUCCACCAAGCUACACAGCAGCAGGCUCCUCCACACCGAAGCCCCGAACACAACAGCAGCAAAGGACAGCCCUCCUCCAGCCGUUCCCCCCAGCUUCAGCAGUGCCCACAGACCGGCCACCAGCAGCAGCAGCCGAUCUCCUUCACCGUCGUUUGCCAGCCUCCAGCACUCCUUGCUGCCAGUACAUGGAACAAGGGAGAAGAGGAUGAGCAGCAGCAGCUGAUCUGCUACGAAGCAGACCCAAAAGAGGCCGUGGCAGAUCUAAAAAGGGAGAGCCGGAAUUGGUUGUGUUGUUGGUUUUACUUUGCAGGUGACUGGGAGAUGCACUGCCGGUACGAACGAGAAGAGAAGAAGGAGACAAUCCCGAUCUACCAGCUUGCUGGUCUUCACCGGCGGUGGGCGUGAGGCCCACGCGCCGCCACUGUUCCCGCGCCCAGAAAACUUCCUUGACACUGUUCCGACUAUAGAGGGCUAUCCCUGUAAUUUCAGAUUGUUUUAGGGCUAAUUUUUGUAAUUGUAAAAAUUGUUUAAUGUUUUUUUUUGUUUAGUUGACUUUUUAUAAUUUGUAAUGUUGAUGUAACAAAAAAAGAAAGAGAAAGAAAAAAAAAGUAAUAAAAAGAAAGUGUGUGUUGUUUUUUUUAUUUAUUUAUGAAUUAUAAAAAAAAAAGGACGAAUUAAUUGUUAAUUUAAAUAUGGUUAAAUAUCAAGGACAAAUAAAAUCAAGUUGUAUUUUCUACGAAAAUGUAAGACAAGUUUCUACAUAUAUUCGGGAAUUCAAUAACUGAUUUAUUCAAGCCUUAGAAUUUAAUUAAUAUUGACAAAGAAUUGAUUUAAUUUAAAUAUGUUUAAAUAUCUCAAGGACAAAUAAAAUCAAGUUGUAUUUUCCAUGAAAAUGUAAGAACAAGUUUUUACAUAUAUUCGGGGAUUUAAUAACUGAUUUAUUCAAGCCUUAGAAUUUAAUUAAUAUUUUAAAUUUUCAAAUCACAUUAGAACACAAAGCAGCUUACCUAAGGUAGGGUGUGUUAGGGGUGCUAAUACCUUCCCUAACCACAACCAGUCCCUUACCCGCGAUCUCUGAUAAGACCAGUACAUCAGGUUUCCUAGUAGCCCUCAAUAAAUUACUAGGUGGCGACUCCAACGAACGAAUUCAAAAGAAAACGCAACAAACAAUGAAAAAUCGCCAGCCGACGCCGCGCGCAGGAUUUUUUUGGGGUGCGACAAUGGAGAUGGAAAUGAGGGGGGAACGAAGUGGCUGGGUCCGAAAAAAUCAAAGCCAAGGGGAAAGAGCUGAUGAGCGGGGGAAGCGACCGAGGAAGAAUGAAAAAAAUUCGAAGGGCUGGGGGACGGCGGCGUUUCUUUUUUUUGUGCAGGGAGAGGGGAAGGUCUCGGUGACCGGUUUCUGGUUAAGGUGAAAAAUAUGGGGGAACAGCGUGGGUAGAAGCUGAGGGAAGGGCUGUUUGGCUUUGGUUUGUGGCCGGCGGCUGUAAAAAAAAAAAAAAAACCAGGGGGAAAGGGGGGCUGCAGGCUUGGUUGAGAUAGGUUUAGGGUUAGGUUAUUUUUUGUAUUUUCUGAUAUUUCAAAAUUGCCCCCCUCCUUUGUGUGAGUUAAAGACCAGUAUUUAUAGGCAAAAAUGUUGCCAAGUUUUUCAACUUGGUCCCUCAACUUCUUUCUUUUUGUAAAUUUUGAUUUUUCUUAUUUUUUUGUAUUUUUUGAAAACGAGCAAUAUCAACGUCGACUCAAAUGCGGAAAAUCAAUGAUUUUAAAAAUGACGCGUGAAAAAUCGAACGCGUUUGAAAAUAUUUUAACAAUUUAAAUUCUUUUUUAGACGACGUUGAAAAUACUAAAAUGACGAAAAUAUAUUAAAAAACAUAUUUUUUGGAUUUUCUUUGUUUUUCUCAAUUUUUUGGAUUUUUGAAAAUAUAUCAAAACAUGGGUCAAAAAUUGGGUAGCAACAAAUAGCAUCCGCACAAGACUAGUUUCAUGGAAAGGUAAGUUCUAGCGAAAUGCAUUCACGGUGUUAUCAUAUGGAAUUUUAUGGGGGUAUUUGGACUGCAAGAAAUAAGCAUGUUCAAAGAUAAAAAGCUUGAUUGAAAUACAUUGUUUCAACUGAUACUCCAUCGUCUAGAACUUUCAUUAAAGGUCCGGAAUAAUAAUUUCUCAUACACGAAGAAUAAUUUGAUUUAAGGUCUCCAAGGCAUUUUAACAAGGUCUAAUAAGUGAUGAGUUCUUGUUUAUUAGUAGCAACUUCUUUGUAACUUCUUUUUAUGUUUUUCUCUAUAACUUCCUGUUUAUUAUAGCCUGAAUGAUAUGUAGUUUUAUCAAUAAUUAACUCGAUUGAUGAGUUGACGUCAUUCAUCAAACGCAAAUUAAGCUCUUAAUUAAUGAGAGGAAAAUGUAGGGUUGGAAAAAAGUUUGGAAGUGAUAAUCAGUACAUACCAAGCCAAAUAAGAUUGUCUCAGGUACUAAAUAGGAUUGUGUCCGGUGUAGUAAUAAAGUUUCUACCUUCUAUGGUAUAUAAAAUGUCUGACCACUUCAACAACAUGUCACGUAAAGAGUGCAUUAAUGUCAUUAUCCUAGAAAUUUUUCCCACACUUUAUUUAUUUUGCUAAACUUUAUAUACUAAAUUAUAAUCAACUCCUAGAUAUUUUACACGUAAAAUUAUAGACCUCGUCCACUUUGUGCCUCUAUAAAUAGCUUAACCUCGACCUUAUCUCCACACAUCACAAGAAAUUCCUUUCUCUCUUUGCAUAUCAAUAUCAAAACUCCCUUCAGGAGUAGCGAAAAUGAGAAGCAAUAUACUACUUACCAUUAUCUUAGCCAUAGUUCUUGCAGGAGCCCUGCCCAAGAAUGUGGUAGAGGCUCAGAAUUGUGGCUGUGCUGCAAACCUUUGUUGCAGUCAAUAUGGCUACUGUGGCACCGGCGAUCCCUAUUGUGGUCAGGGAUGUAAACAAGGGCCCUGUUAUUCAUCGCCUACGCCUACUACUCCUAGUGGGAGUGGUUCUGUUGCUGAUAUUGUUACGCCUGCUUUCUUCAAUGGUAUAAUCAACCAAGCUGCUGCAAGCUGUGCUGGGAAGAAUUUCUAUACAAGAAAUGCAUUUCUCAGU